rnacentral:lncRNA from 1 species
CAGAUAUUUAACUUCUGGAAGCAGGAGAGCACAAGUGUGGAUAAAGAUGACCCAUGACAGUUUGUUUCCUUCAAGUUUCCCUGUUAGAUGCAGAGUUAGGCAGUAGUCAGAAUACACCAGUCUAAUGGUUUGUGUUGUUAUUGUCAUCGACUGCACCUGAGUUUUUCCACUGUGACAAGCUCAAAUGUUCAAAUGCUUUGGAAAAGGUGAGUUGCUUAAUGUGUACUAUUCAGAAAGCACUUUACAAAGAGCUAAUUUAUUCAGUUUUUGGCUCAUGCAUGACAAUUUUAAACACUGAUCUCCUCCUAUUAACGAGAAAACCUAGUGAAGGACAAUAGAUUAAGUCAGAUUUAAACUCCAACCAACCCACAAGUAGGGGAGAGUGGGGUAAGGUGAGCCAUUUCUCACAUUUCGGAUCACUACGUCAAGGCAAUCAUAGUUUUGUCUCUAACUCGUGUAUCUGCAUAUAUUUCAAGAUGUUGUGCAUCCCUGCAAACCAACAGAAUGAGUGUAAACAUAACUGUCUUGAUAAUAUAGUAUGCCAAAAAAAGUAGUCUCCUAUGGUCAUCUUACCCCGUGUGUGGGGUAAGUUGACCAUAGGAGCGGGGUAAGUUCAGCCGUAUCCCUACUACCCCCCACUCUCCACCCCUUCUCUCACCCUAAAUAACAGUCACUUCUUCACAUUCAUGUUUAUUUUUAUCUAUUAUAUGCUAUUCAACUGGUAAAAUAAUUCUUUUAUUAUUAUUGCAUGUAACUGUUAAAAAGCUGUUUUGUAAAAAGUAAUUUUAACAUGAGAAUGUCUUUAAGUGAUUCAGAUCAUUUACAGCUGUAUUUUUUAAAAGAAAAAGUAACACAUUUCAACAAUCUGAACUGAAACUCUGAUCCUCUCAUCAGACUUCUUUACUUUCUCAGUUGAGCCACUGGCUCAACUUACCCCAGAACUACUAUGAUGACUUUAUUAGUCCUCUAAACUAAAAUGGUGGACUUUUAUGUUCGGUAUUUGACCUCAUGUUGUUGCUCAUAGAUACCACAAUUGAUGUAUAAAACAAAUUUAAAAUGAUCUUUUUUGGUCUGAACACAAUUUUAUUAAAAAGUUGAAAGCAACCACAAUUACUUUCAAGAGUGAAAAAUGUUUUUUUUGGAAAUAAAUGUCUAAUCCCUUCACCUAUGUGCUUCUAACCUUUACAGACUCCUGAUUCCCAUCUCCUAAAUAUCUGGUCAAUGAUUAAUUUCUUUUACCAUUUCCAAACAACAAGGGGUGGCUCAACUUACCCUUUGGCUCAGCUUACCCCACUCUCCCCUAUAGCCUCCAUUAUAAAAUGACAAGCUUUUCAAAAACGGUACUUGAAUGUAUUUAUUUACAAAAUACACUCGGUUAGGCCAGAGGGCUACCAGAAAAUGUACAUUUAGUAUAAGACACCAACUCUCCUGUAUGAAAAGAUUAUAGGAAUGAGAUUUCUUUUCAUAUUAUUAACGGUGUUGUCCUAAAGUAGAAAAUCAAUCAAAUAUUUUCAAAGUAGUAAAUAACAUUGUUGAAUAAACUAAACACUGGUCUUUGUAUUUUAUUGCAGCGUAUGCUUUCUACAUGAACAAAAAGGCUAAAAUCGAGUCUUAUUAUAUAAUAUUCCAGCUUUUCAUCCAAAUCAUUGUCUGACUACCUUUCACUAACAUUUACAAAUAGUUCCUCAUGGGUCCCAAGAGACGUUUUAAUAAACAUGAAAUUAUACACGUUUUCUCCAGCCUUAAUUGUAAUGUUUCGCUGUACUGCACAGCAGAAGGCCCUUGAGGGUUAGGUGCAUCCAAGCCAUCUGCAUUACACGUUUCUUUAGUUUUUGACCACGCUUCAUUGGCAGUUCAUCCUGUUGAUUGAUUGAUUUCCUAACAAUUACUUCUAAUUAUUUUUCUUGGUGAGGAAAAAAAAAACUAAUUUAAUGCAUGGGUGACUGUAUUAAUUGGGAGAAAUGACAUUGUCCAAGUUUCAGAGUAAAUACAAAUUAUUGACUCCAUUAUUGUUAUCUGAUUGUAUAUUGUCCCGAGUACACUUCACUGACAAAGGUAAUUAGUGUCCUGCUUCUUCAUUGGGGAAGCCAACAAUGCAAGGUCAUAGUCACUCAUUUGACACGUACAAAUCAAAGACCACCUCAAAACAAAUAACUUUAUGGCUGCUUUGCCUUCAUCGACAUUGAGAUAAACCGUCUCACACAGCGUGCGAAUAUCCACACUGGUGCUUUCGUAAUGAGUUUUUUGUCUUUGUCAUGGAUUCUUUAUCUAAUCAACUAUUAUGACCUUGUUUGGUCAAACAAAUAUACUAAUGAAUGUAAUUAAAGCUGUAGAUUGAAUUAACUAAUUGAAUAUGUGACCUGUUGAAGCUGGGUUGUCAUUUAAAGCUUAAAAUAAGUAACAAGUGCUGUUAAAGUUUAUAUGUUUUUCUUUUUCUUUUCUUUUUUUUUUAAUUUCACGAAGGCCAAAAUAACUUACAGGCUCAUACACUUGACUAAAAACAUAUCUGAGACUAGAUUUGAAAAAAAGAAAUCCCUAUCUUGAUUAAAAUCCAUGAGGUGAUGCUCUAUCCACAUUAUAUACUUUAAUACGUAUUUACUUCACAGAUCAGUAAUAUAAUGGUACAUUUCAUUGCCUGAUUUUUCAUGUGUGAAAGAUUUGUUUUUGCAGCAUUUUCCAGUUCCACACCUCUGACUGGCCUCACAAUUCAAAUUUAAGAUGAAAUAUGUUCCCUUCUGUCAGUCCAUUUCUUCCGAGAAUUUCAUGCCCUCUGAUUCAGAAAUACAAUCUGGUUUAGAAGACAGUAAAGAAUUACAAUGACUGUCCCUGGUGAAACCUGUCUUACCAGAGCAGACAUAAAAAAGUCAGAAAAGAUGACUCCAUGUCCAGAUAGUACGUAAUAACAAUGUUAGUUUGAAUAAAGAAAGCCAUAUCUAGAUUUAAAUGUAAUAUCCAUUGUAGAAAUAUGAACAACUUGGGGGUAAAGGAAAAAAAAAAACAUUAGCCAUAUCUUUCAUAUAGCAAUAGUAUUCCCUUAUCCCUGAGGCUAUGGCCUGGCUAAAACCUCAAUGCAGCAAUUAUUUGCUGUAAUGACUGCGGUUGAAAUAAGCCUGGAGAUUUUAUUAAACCAAAUGAGAGAAUCAUCUGUGUAUUAUCACCUUGUGAUUGACAGUGACAAGUGUUGGGCAGACUCGGAUGUGAGCAUGAUGAAGAAGCUCUUGGCAAAGCUCUCGAUAAUGUUACCCCUGAUAAAGUUGCCUGAAAAACCUCAGCCAACAAAUGGAGAUGGAAAGCUCCACGCAUAUUAAUUCCAAUUGUCAGAUCCCUCUGGUGGGGGAGGGGGUAAUCUGGCAAGAGGCCCUGGCUGCCCCUCUAUUCACUGAGUGGCAUUUUACACAACUAAUGAAAAAGAAAUCCAUUGUGCUGAUCAUAUGCAUAGAUUCCACUCUAUAAUAACAACGGAAUAGAAAUAUUCAUAAUAAAAGUAAAGGUCACUCGCUCUUGCUACUAAGCUUCCUAAGCUGCAAUCUUUGCGAGAGUAGUUGUCAGGUUACAGCGAUAAAAUAGAGAAAAGGGAGAGGCGUCAAGUUUUAACCCAACGGAGGCCAAGAGGUGAGUCACUGCAACCAAGCCACCACUAUGUACUUUUGCUCUGUGGUCAUUUGUAUAUUUUUCUCCUACAGCAAACAGUACAGAUGUCAGUUCAACGAUGGAUCCAGCAGAUCAGUCUUCUUCUCCGCGUCCAGUGAAGAGGUUAAAGGUCAGUCACAGAGUUAUGAUUAACUGUGGUCCUCUCCCUGAUGCGCAGAGUCAAAGCUAGUGUCUACAUUCUGCAGGGAUUUGUCUGGUCUAGUUAAUAAAACACAUGGAAAUAUGAACAGCCGCCUCUCCUCUCCUCAGCGCUCCCAUCUUGCCUAUCUCUGUAUGUAGGUCACCUGGGCUUCUUCAGGCAUAUGAACAGAGGAGUACAGGGGUGGAUAGAGGCAUGUCUCACCUCUGAAGGGCAGUCACAGCAUUAUUAUUGCCCGUGUGCGACUUCAACACUGAGCCCCGUCUUCAUAUGCAUCUUACAUUGGCAUUUAUUAGUGGCAUGCACUAAGUACAGGCCAUGUUAUUGAAUUUGAAUAUCAGCUCCUAGCCACAUUCGCAGGCCCUGGAAAUAUAUUAUAAUAAGAAGCAAUCUCAUUUAAUAACACCCAAACUAAUAAAAGGAGAGCAGAUUGGAAAUUAAAUUUAUGAAUAUUGCUUGGCAGCAGAAGUGAUCCAAAAAAGCCCAGCUUGGUCUGUCAUAUGCAGAUAUUUCUCUUGAUGUACGCACAGGUGGAGAUAUUUCUGAGUGUCUCCCCAUGAGUAUCAUGUGUACAGAGCAGCAGGUUUGUUUCAGUCCUUCACUUUUUCAUCAUUCAAAACUAGAGAGCCACGCUUCGGGUUUCUUUGAUGUAACUGGACAUGAAAAAAAUCAAAGUAUAGGACUGUGAUAAUGAAAGUGAAUCAUUAUGAUGCCCUGAUCAUUCUAAAACUUCAAACUAGCCUUUGUUGAGCAUUAGCUGUAAAAAUAUCAUUUCAAAACUGAGAUGCUCUAUAACUAAUCUUGAACAAUAGCAUUGCAUCCAGUGAACAGUAAGAAGGCCCCAGACAACAGAAGUUUGUCAAAUUGUUGAUAAAACAGAUAAAAAUGGACUUGGUCAGCUAUUUCCAAAGUCCACUUUAGCUUUUUUGUUCUCUUAAAGAUGGAAACACUUUCUUUUUGACGUGACUUCCAUCUGACAGUUAUAUCGGCCUGUGCCAGAGCUGAACAGCUCAGAUUAAAGAACUCUUCACUUUGUAGACUCCUCAUCUCAUGAGCUCAUGAUUUUUGUUAUUGAUCAACAACAUCCUGCUGGUCAUUUUUUUUAAACUGUUGUUUGUGCAUGUGUGUGCACAGCAGUGUGCACCAAGACAUCCAACUCAGCUGGUCCAUCUGUGUGUACACGUUGACUCCCAGUGGAGCUGUGACUGUCACUCAUUGCCCAGCCAGCGUAGUGCCAGGCAUUGAUCGUUACAUAUAUCUUGCUCUGUACUUCGCAAACCUUCAUCAACAGAUGCGGCUGCAAAAUUGAUUAGCAGCGAGUCAAUGACCAAAUCUCUUUGGAAACAUUUUUAUUUAUGUGUGUGUUUAUGUGGAUAGCUUAGAGGGCCAUUAGUGGGAUUACCUUUGAGGCUUGGCUGAACAACAGAUGUUCAAGGACGGCUCAAUCAAUUUGACUUGCAGGCUGGAGAUGCCGGAAACAAGUCAUAAGUCUGUGAGGGGAGAAGGGGGGUUAAAUAAAAACAGUUCACGCUGGUUACACACAGGUACAGCAGAAUUAGUCUCACAGCAGGUCCAUUAUUUAGAGUGACACCACCACAGACUUAUCUAUAACUAGAGCCCACAGUCAAUAAAUCAAAAUUCUCUUGAUAUUUACUCACUGAACAACAUACCUGAUAUUGUCUGAUUUGUUAUCUACUGUAAGCUGAAACCCCAUUACAGUUAUUACUUAAAGUCAAUAUACACUUAUUAAAAAAAAUCCAUGUAAUAUUUCUUUAUUUCAGUGAGCACCUUCUGAAGAACAAUGGAUCAUAUUUAUGUUCUUGGGUCUGUGCUGAAAAGGUUCAAUCAUUUGGCUGAGUCAUACACAAACAAAGUUAGUUUGGCCAUUUAUCAUAAUAAACAGGCAUUUCACAAAACACGUUUAUAAAAUGGAUUUCAGCCUUACGAAAUUGCAUGAGUAUAACAUUUUCAAUAUUAGCAGCAGCAGCCUCCAGAAAAGCCCGUUUUAAUUUGUGCUGAUGCAUUGUGCAAGCAGUGCAUUCAAUUAUACACAUCUAUAUUGAAUUCAAAUUAAUGUCUGAUAUGGAUAUUUUUAUUAUAUUUAAAUAAUCUCAAUUCAGCAGAAAAUGUAUUAUUUCUCAGAGAAGAUCAUGUUCUUUCAUUCUUUUCAAUUUUCCCCCUUCCUCUCAUGAAUGGCGGUGAAAAAAUGUGUUGCAGAGUCUCACGAUCUGCCUUUCAAGUCGCUGCUUAUGCUUCCUUAUCUGCAAACUUAUUAAAAUUAAGUCAGAACACAAAAUGGUAUUUAAAAAGUUUAAGUGAAACAAUUUGCAUUGGGAGUGUGUGAAAAUGCUAAUGCAUUCUUUCACUAAGCCUCACAAUCACUGUCAUCCAUUUCGAGCUCUGAUUGUUUUCCACAUGGAUGCCUUCAUUCAUUAUUGCAAAAUUAUAAACAUAAAGAAGAUCUCUGUAUUAAUAUUUCUGCUUUUUGUUAAAGCUCAAUCAACCAUAAUGUUCUAAUUUUUUCUCUGUGAACCUCAUUUUAAAUUAUCUCACUACUCAAGGAAUGGAUGUCCCAAAAGGGAUUUAUUUCAUUUAUCAGGAUUAUUGAAUUAAAUUAAACUAGACACUUACCGCAAGCUGAACAGAGGUACCUUAUCCACUUAAAAAGAAGGCCUGCUCUUCACUGCUAUUUAGGCAAACACAUUAGGCAGCAAAUGCCUUCUGCCGGCUGAGCCUAGGUUACUGCAUAAUUCAUUUGUUCAUUAAGAAAAGCAUUGAAAGUGCUUGAGGUAAGUGGAAAAGGUCAUGUAUUGAAUGGAUCUUUAAUUAAGCUACUUUACAACCACAGUUACACAACCAGUGACACAUGCAUCAUGUUUGUUUACAUGUCAAAUUAAUGUGUGGAAAGACAAUAAAUAAGGGAGAAAUGGUAGGUAAAAGGUUAGUUGGGUUUAUUUUGCCGAUUGAGUUGAGACUCAACAACCUCUAAUAAGGUCUUAACUGUAAACAAUGUGACCAUGUAUUCUAUGCUGAGAAUUUAUAUUAUGAAAAUAACCCCAGAUUCUAGGAUGUUUUUGAAUUGCUCUGUCAACAGCAGAAAAAUGCUUAAUAACAUUAGAUAAUUUGUUUUACAAGAGAAAGCCUCUGAAUACCACCAAUCUGAGGAGACUUCCAAAAGCCUCUCUGUUAUUCUGGUAUGCAGCAGCAGAUGGCAGGCUGUUUCCACGGUUAGACCUUCUUCUGACUACAACACAUGCUGAACUUCUGUACCCUGUUGCUGUGAUGUUGGCUUCCCAAACCUCGCUGCUCUUGCCUGUGAAAUGCAUUCCCAUUAAAAAGGCAUUUUUAAAGCCAACACUAGUGCUAUAACAAUCAUCUCUCCAAAGCCAAGCCUCCACACCCGGGAGCUCGGCGCUGCCACACAGGCAGACAUGUGGCGGCUGCCACAAACAAAGGCCCCGUGCUCUCCUUCCCAUUUCGAUUCCUUAAAUCUCCACAUGGUUACAGACCAGCCUGCCAGGGCCAAUUACACCCACCGCCCAGAGUGUGAGGUCUCAAAGACACCCCAAUCACAACUAACAAGAUCAAGGCUUACACCCUAUCACAUGCACAGUAUACAAACACUCAUAUACCUGUAUAUGUACAUGCAAAUGAUCUGUCCUCUUUGGUUUCACCCAUUUUCUCUCUCACACCCACUGUGUCACUUAAAAAUCAUAACACAAUUUAAAUGACUGGGGGAAGUCUGAAACUUUUUUAAGAGCAGCAAAAAUAACAGGGCGACAAUCAUGCUGUCAGAAGUGGCUGUGUCAUUUCACUGUAAGAGUUCAGCACUUAGUCUUGGUGACACUCCUACAGAAAUUCAUCAACCUGUUUCACUGUUAAACAUGAGUUAUAUAUGGAGAAUAGUGGGGUAAUAGACAUGACUCACUAGAACUAAUAUAGAGGUAACCACACCAGAUCACUUUGAGCUUAAAUUUGUUCAAACACUGACAACCUCGAGGCUUUUGUGUCAUUGUUCUAAAAUGUAACUGUUUAGGAGUAAACUCUCACUGACUCUGCUGUGACCCGGUCAUUGAAUGUGGACAUUUAACCUGCAUUAUCAGUCCUUGCCAGUGCUGACAGGGUGGACAGGUGACCAGUGGGAGAAAAUUUAGGCCUUUACCCUGAUCCAGCCAUUAAUACCCACGAGGCUAUGUGUCAUGCAGCAUGCAGCCUGAGCCGUGGUUCACAGGCCUCCUAUGAUACCUCUGUGUGAGCCCAUUCUUCAUGUCCUCACACCAAACACUGAUGUGGCAGCUUGCUAAAUAAUUUGUGCUUCUUUACUGGGGUCUUAGGAUAGAGAAUCUGGUUGUUGAAUAAUUAAUCAAGACACAAUCUAAGCAGCCUACUUCUGUUUCCUUCUUGUUUCAGCCAGAUUGUCUGCCCAUGUCCCCCGGCAUUCAUACCAGCUCGCAGUCAAAUUCAUCUGACUUUGUAUCUGCUUCACAAUAUAGCUGUAGGCAGACUGGUGUUAGGAGGAGCAAGUCCAAGGCAUGACCCACAGGAUCCCAAAAAAAGAAAACCGCACACAGCCGCAGAAUCUAUUUUCAUUCAGUGGAUAAAAAUAAAACAAAGGCCUAUUACUGCCAUGGCUUUGUUUAGCUACAUAAUUGCUUUUCAUUAUUCAGUGCACAGUUGAUACCCACAGUGUAGGUUGAAAGAGCUGCUGUUGUUUGAGUGCGGCUGGAAAUGAGAUCUUUUAUUGAUACUGCUGUGUCUCAGAUCUGAUUCUUACAAAUGUUGAGUGAUACAACUGGAGCCUGCUUGUCUGUCUGUCUCUGUGAAUACUAAUGCAGCACUUUGGACUGAUAGGGGGAUCACGGUAGCCUAAAGGUUGGCAAAGCAGACUUCUUACAGAAAGAUUUUCCAGAGAACCCACCGAAUUGGCUGCCAAAUCCAGGGCAGGCGAAAUUAACAAGAUGUGAAAAUCCCAAGUCUUUCCUGAUUGGAUUGUUCUUUUUUUAGUUGAAUUUUUCAUUUUUUUUUAUUUAUUCAUUUUUAGAAAUAAUGAUAUUUGCUUGCAAGGACUUGGAAGAGAUCAAUACCACUCUUAUGAUUGUAAACACAAUAUAACAAGCUGAAAAGGGUGUUUGCCUUCAAUGUAAGCACAUUUAGGCUAUCACAAGUGCUUAAAUUAAUCAAUUAUACAGUAAAUACCUAAUGUUGCGCAUGGGAGUGAAAAUAACAAUUCCUUAUUUUACCCAGCAUGCGGUCAAAUAACUGACUGACUGAAAGAUGGCAUUUGCUCAAGCGAACUGUCAAUUUCAAACUUCAUAGUGAGUGCAGAUUAAAUGCACAAGAAGAGCAGAUACCCUCUUUUUAAUCUCUUGAUAUGCAUUUUCAAGUAACUCAGUUUACGUCUGUGUAAUUUCAGGCUUACCUGCUGCUGCUGUAGCUUUACUUUUGACUGGACAGAGUUCAGAGUUUAUUUUCCUUCUUAAGUCAUGAUCAAAAAGUGAUCAGGUAUUCUUCACGAAAUGUUUAUUUAUUGCUUAACUCCAAGUCCCUUGGGUAUGGGAUGAAUAUUAAUGCUAAUGCUUUUGGCAUUCAAUGGACACCCUUAAUCUAGAUUAUAUUAACAUUGAGUAAUGCUGGUCCCAGUAGGAAUAACAAGCCAAAGCUUGCAGCCUUAGGCCGUGAUUACACCUAAACCAGUUGCUACCUAAAGAGUGGUUGUAAGUGGUUAUUGAAAUAGGCCCUAACCCUUGACAUACCAGGACUUUUUUGUUGUAUCCAGACCUCUUACCAGCUGCCAGUACCCUCUCCUCUCCUCUCCAUGUUACAGUUUUUCAUGCAAGUUCAUAAAAGCACCUAAAUGCAUCACCCAUGGCCCACUUUUUAACAUUGGUUUACUUUUGUGGGCAUGACAUGACUCUCCUUUGUCUUCUUUCACUGGUGAGUGAAUUACAGCAACCCAGGGAAACCAAAGCUACCAUAGUUUAUACAGCCUGCUUUAAAAUGGGAUGGGAGAGUGGUGUUGCAGUGAUACCAGUGAUUUACUGCCCUACAGAUACACACGCCAACAAGUCAGCAAGUACCAGCAGUUGUUUUUUCCACUUGUAGCACUGGUUAUUGUUUGGGGGUACAUUCGCACCAGCAAUUAGGGGUGCUAGGAGUACCAACAAUUGGAAAUCAGGCACCAAAUGCCGGAUUGAUAUCAACAAGGUUUAGUCACAUUGCUUUGACCCCGUGACCAACUCUUUGUUUCAACAUAUUCUUUCCAAUCACUGAAAAUCCUGCUCAGUCUUAGCUGUCCCUUAGCUCAUCACUGCUACAUUCCCACAUGAAAGUCCAGGCAUAUAUACUUUUUUUUUUUUGGUAUGUUGUGUAUUUUGAUAUCUUUGGUCGUUUCCACAAGAGAUGGUGUAUGACCAGGGCCAUCACUUCAGGAUAAUACCCAAACAUGGUUGUCAGGGUCUGUGUCCCCUCAGAGCAGGCAUAAGAGAUGGGACUAUGAGUCUGAGGCGUGCAGUAUAAAGGACAGUAAGAGAUAGAGCUCUUUAAAAAAAUAAACCAAGACAGGAAGAAUGACACUUAGCCCUUAAUCAUCUCUGUGUCUGCAGGGAUCCCCUGUACUUUUGUGUCUAUUGCAGAUAAUGGUCUUUCCUUACUUGACAGCAUGUCUUUGCAGAGCCAGAGCUCUGUAACCAAUGCUUAAGUGUAUCAGGGUGACAAAGUGUUGCUAGAUUCAGUGGUGUCACGGCUCAUCAUGUAGUGACAUCGCUGACAGCUGUGGUGUUACGACAGGGAGGCUGCUGAAUGGAGUCAGAAUGGAUUCUUGUGCAGUAGACCCAACUUUCAUAACAAUGCCUUCCCUAAGGAUCAAGCUACAAUAUGCAAUCCAGCAACACCAGCUGUAACCACUGGAAGACGGGGAGGGGGAAUAAUGGAAAUCUUGGAUUGCACACCAAAUUGCUGUUUCAGUUAUUGGAACGCAUGGAUGCCUGUGUUUCAGGAGAGAAACCAGAGGCAAAAAGAGAACAAGAAUGACAAUGUAUUUCAAGGGGUAGAUCUCUCACGCACUGCAGUGUCUGGCUUGCUGUCCGAGUCCACUGGCUUUUUCCUCAGAAGAAGUGGGAGAGAACAAUCCUUUCCAUCAGAUAUAACCACAUCAUCUUGAACCUGUCCAAUCCCAUCAGUCCUUUUCUGGGAGCUUGUUGGAGGAUGCGUGUCCUUGCCAGGUCCUCUGCUGGUUUGAAGGAACUUCCUGUUUGUUGAAAACAGUACAGACAAAUUGUAUAAUGACAAAUGGUGGCCCAAACAUCGUAGGAGCGUGCUGUCUCGGGACCUCAAACUCAGUUGCAACUAAUUUUGCCCAAACCCCAAAAUAAGCAGAACAACAUGACAAUAAGCAGGCUUUGUCUGUUUCCACACACAUAUUCGUAGUUAUCCACUUCUCAGUGGGCUGUGAACAGUUUUCUGAGUAAAUGCAUUUCACAAGACUGUGACGUGAACAUUUUACUUUCUCUUUUUUGAGGUUAUUUGUAUAUAUGACCCCGGGGCAAUUAGAAGUGUCAGUUUGGCAUCAUAGGUUCUCAUUUUCAUGAGGCUAAUCCAGACUUUGGGUUACACUGCUAUCACACACAGUUAGAAAAUAAAACCUAGGAAUACGUAAUGUGAAACAGUUGUAUUAUAAUGUUGUCAAUGCGGCUGUAUCAUGACUAAGAACAUCACCAGAGAUUUUGGGACCUAUUGAAAGAUUUCUUUCUGGGCCUCACCACUUUUUCUUUUUUUCCUUUUCUGUCCCAACGUUUUUUUCCCAUCCUUGAUCAAAACAUUUGUGCCUUUUUACCCAUUUAUUUAGUUAAAAAACCAUCCUAAUCUUACAUAUUAAAACCUUUUUACGAAAUAAGUGAUUAAAAAAGGAUGCCAGUGAAAUACAAGCAUAAUCUAAAGAAUGUGUGCUGCAUAUAAGCCAAAUGUUUGACAUCAUGCAAUAACUUAGGAUAAAUUAUUUUCUUUAUACGACAUUGUUCACACUCUUAAGUUUGGAUUAAACUAGAGAUGUACAUCUCUGUAGGCUCAGUGGACAGAGGAAACUUCAGCCUCACAGAAGAUGGAGGUUUGAUAAGAGUUUCUUUAACUCCAAAGGUUUUUUUGAGUUUGCCUUCUUUCUGUCCUCACUCACAUAAGCUACCAUUUUCCUCCCAUUUAAGAAUCAUUCGGUUAAGAGUGUGGGUACAUGUGAUCCACCAUACUAUAAAUCAUCCAUCUUUGGAAGUCAAACCGCCCUUUGUAAUGAUGGUGUGACUAUAUUUGGCAGCAAACAUUGUUGCUAAACUGUAAUGAAUGUCAUAUUAAUCUAUUUUAUCUUCCAACCAUUAGCAAGAUUUGAACACUCCAAUACCAAGCCAAGCCUCAUUUUCCAGGCCUCUGAUCACACCAGGCAGUGGGCACCUAAUUCGCUCAGUGAAAUGGGGCUUGCGAUUACUGAGGUAAAGAUUUGAUAUAGCAUGGAAAAUUAGGUCGAAUCUAAUAAAUUACCCAUCCCACUGAAUAGUCCACAUAUGCUGACAGUGGAGGAGGGGCUGUUUUGCCUGCAGAGAGACUAGUUGUUUUACCAUGUGUAAUAAAGAUCAGGGAGAAGCAGUGGAGGAGGAGUUGCUGAAGGUGGCAUGGCUUGAGGGUGUCACCAUUGAAAUAAGGGGCGGUAGCACUGAAGUUUCCUCAGAAUCUUUGACUAUUAAGGCUUUCACAUGAUCUCCAUCCUGAUGGCCACGUAAAUAAUCUAUAUCCAUCGACUAUCAGACCUCCCAAAAAGCCAGGGGCCCUACCAUUGCCACACAGCGACUUGUCACACAAUGCCUGAGUAAAUAAAACAUGAUUUAGUACAUUUUCACCAUGUAGCACAGGGUGUACUUUACUUUUACGGCAGCAUACUUUGCUCAUGAUGGAGGGUGAGCGCGAGAGAAGUCAGAAAUGCUCCCAUAAAUCAUUCCUUGCGUUGUACCUCAAAAAUAGUGCUCACAUGAUAAAUGUGAGUUUACUGGAAGCAUUUUAAACCUGAACAAUGACUCUGUGUGUGUGUGUCUGUGUGUGUGAGUGUGUGACAAAUCUGGAAGCAUUUUAUGGUCAGCCACAGAGGCCUCUGUGAUUGGACAAGCUAUGUCACUCCUGGUCUUAAAAGGCUUUGCACAAGAACGAGGGCAUCCGCGAGUCAUCCACCAUUUAAGGGAUACAAAAUUCUUCAGGAUUCACCACACAGUUAGUUUCAAUCCAAACUGCUUAUUCGAUCUGUUACAGACACAUGAUUCAGCUCAGCAACUUCUGAUUGUUCUCCAUAAUCAAUUCCCGCAUCAUCCUGACGAGUCUGGAAAUGGUUUUGUCAGUGUUAUAGGAUAAUAGCUUAAGUUUUUUAAUCUGUCAGGGUCUCAGAAAACGAAGCCAUGUUAAAACUACUUUUAAUCUAAAAUAUUAAUUUUGUUAAACUAUUAAUCCCACGUUUCAAAGCUCUUUUGCAUACUUGCGAGUGACAUCAGAGAUUAUGCUUGCCCCUGCCAACUGGGGCAAAUUCCCAAGGUGCAGGCAGGCAAUGAGUUUUUUUCUGCACCACCAAUUGUGCUGCAGAAAAAAAACAGUAUCUCUGUAUGCUGGUGCUGUUAAUGUUAUUAAUUUUGCCAGUCUGGAUUUGUUUGGGACAAAGUUGGCCCCUUCGUAGGGCUGUGUAUCUCCCCUUUUCAGGGCAAUCAAAUCCAAUCCCAGUAAUGAUGGCAAUGAUCCAAUUCAAAGAGAGAUUCAUUACACUAUAGAUUAAUUCUGUUCAAUUUUAUUUAAUACAAAUCUAUCCAUUUAGAGCAUAUCCAUGUAUAAAUCCUAGCUUUUUUUUUACCUAAUGCAACUGGAACAGGACAAUAUAUCUUUUAAAACGCAGUUUUCACACCUUAUAGUUUUUUUCUGUGAUUCUCAAAUAUGAUUUGAACUCUUUUGGAAUUGACACUUGCUCUUCAUUUGAAAGUCCUUUUUAAAUUUUGUUCUACAAUACAGAUUUUUAUGACAUAUAUUUAGAAAAUGCCAAAAUACUACAGAGAAAACUACUUGAUUGUGUCAUGAAAAGAAAGAACUGUUGCAUCCUGUCUAAUUUUCCAUUAGGCUAAGCUAUAUAAACGACCUUCACUGACCUUUACUAAGUCAGACUCUCCAUGUUUAUUGAACACUGUUGAGACUUUGGAGUUUGUAUUAAUUUGACAUGACUCAAGGACAAAAACUGACGCCCAUAAAGGAUGCUAACGCCACAAGGGGCGCCAUAGUUAAUUAAUUCCACGUGCUAUUUUGAAUUACCAGGGAGAACCAUCAUGAAUAGCCAGAGAAGGGCACCGGCAACUCACCAGAUGUCCUGAUAUGCCAAAAAUGUUUGGGUUUGUGGAGGAGUUAAAGUUAGAAAUCAGAGUACUUGUGUACUGAAGUAUAUUGGCCCACUGAAAGUGCAGCUUUUAAAAGGAUAUCACACAUAUGAGUGACUUGAAAAAUGUUUUAAGGCCUGUUACUUUGACUAUGGCGUAUCAGGAGUUGAAUCAGUCAUGCUGCCCGAGACUUAAUCCCAACAAAUACAGUCAUGCUUUCAUGUGUGAUGUAGAGCUGUAACGGAUAAAACUUUUUUUUUCCUGGUAAGAAGCAUCCCUCACCACCAGACUCCUAGUAAAAGAGCGCACAGCACAACUAUGCAUAGGAAAGAGUCGCAAAGAGAUCUGCUGUCAGGUGCAAAACAAGACAAAACAUAGCAUAACUAAAACCAGGGUUCACGCAGACCCUUACAAGUUUUUCAGUCAUAUUAUUUUAAAGUUAAAGACCUUGAAAUGACAUUAAAAUAUAUAGAUUUACACUUAAAAUUCAAACAUGACUUUGAUAUAUGUUUGAGUACUUCAUAAAAUCUAAAAUCAAUUAUCUGCAUUCAUCUGUAUCAUAUUCCUCUUGGUGCAUAUUAAGCCUUUGUCUUGAAAGAGAUCAUUAGCAUGGCUUUACCACAUCAUGUCUGGUCAUUGUUUUAGAUGGCUGUAUUUACAAUGGCAAAAGUUAAGAGGGGAGAACAAUGAUCUGCAAAGUGUGUUUGUCAGCAGUCAGGUUUGAUCAUCUGCAGCCAGAGCUAAUAACCACAGAGAUAAUAACCACAGUGAAACACCUCAUGACAGGGGAACACACAUUGAUACAGCAGGUAAUCAAACACAGCAACAACAGCUUCGAAGAGCAACAAAUGUAAAUCGAGUUAAAACUAACAGCUAAGUGACACCUUAUUUGAUAGCUAAACAACCAAAUGAGUGUGGGAGUGCAACAGAAGAGAUUCUGACAACUAACUAACUAACUAACUAACUAACUAUUAACUAACUAACAACUUGCAUACUUGCAUAAAUACUUACUUGCAUACUUGCAUACAUACUUACUUGCAUACUUACUUACUUACUUGCAUACUUACUUACUUGCAUACUUACUUACUUACUUGCAUACUUGCAUACUUACUUGCUUACUUACUUACUUACUUACAUACUUACUUACUUGCAUACUUACUUACCUGCUACUUGCUUACUUACUUGCAUGCAUACUUGCAUACUUACUUACUUGCAUACUUAGUUACUUGCAUACUUGCAUACUUACUUACUUACUUGCAUACUAACUUACUUGCAUGCAUACUUGCAUACUUACUUACUUGCAUACUUACUUGCAUACUUAGUUACUUGCAUACUUGCAUACUUACUUACUUGCAUACUUACUUACAUACUUGCAUACAUACUUACUUGCAUACUUACAUACUUGCUUACUUACUUACUUACUCACUUGCAUACUUACAUACUUACUUGCAUACUUGCAUACUUGCAUACUUACUUACCUACUUACUUACAUGCUUACUUACUUGCAUACUUACUUGCAUACUUACUCACUUGCAUACUUACAUACUUGCAUACUUACAUGCUACUUGCUCACUUACUUACUUGCAUACUUACUUACUUGCAUGCUUACUUACUUGCAUACUUACUUGCAUACUUACUUGCAUACUUACAUACUUGCAUACUUACCUGCUACUUGCUCACUUACAUACUUGCAUACUUACUUACUUGCGUACUUACUUACUUGCAUACUUGCAUACUUACUUGCUUACUUACUAACUUACUUACAUACUUACUUACUUGCAUGCUUACUUACUUGCAUAUUUGCAUACUUACUUGCAUACUUGCAUACUUACUUACUUGCAUGCUUAUUUACUUGCAUACUUACUUGCAUACUUACAUACUUGCAUACUUACUUACUUGCAUACUUACUUGCAUACUUACAUACUUGCAUACUUACCUGCUACUUGCUCACUUACUUGCAUAUUUGCAUUACUUACUUACUUACAUACUUACUUACUACUUACUUGCAUACUUACUUACUUGCAUACUUGCAUACUUACUUGCAUACUUACUUGCUUACUUGCAUACUUGCAUACUUACUAACUUGCAUACUUACUUACUUGCAUACUUACUUGCAUACUUAGUUACUUGCAUACUUGCAUACUUACUUACUUACUUGCAUACUUGCAUACUUACUUCCAUACUUGCAUACUUACAUGCUACUUGCUCACUUACUUACUUGCAUACUUACUUGCAUGCUUACUUACUUGCUCACUUACUUGCAUACUUACAUACUUGCAUACUUACUUACUUGCAUACUUACUUGCAUACUUAGUUACUUGCAUACUUACUUGCAUACUUAGUUACUUGCAUACUUACUUGCAUACUUACUUACUUGCAUACUUACUUACUUGCAUACUUGCAUACUUGCUUACUUACUAACUUACUUACUUACUUGCAUGCAUACUUGCAUACUUACUUACCUACUUACUUACAUGCUUACUUACUUGUUUACUUACUUACUUGCAUGCAUACUUGCAUACUUACUUACUUGCAUACUUACUUACUUACUUGCAUACUUACUUACUUGCAUACUUACUUGCAUACUUACAUACUUGCAUACUUACCUGCUACUUGCUCACUUACAUAUUUGCAUACUUACUUACUUACAUGCGUACUUACUUACUUGCAUACUUACUUACUUGCAUACUUGCAUACUUACUUGCAUACUUACUUGCAUACUUACUUGCUUACAUACUUGCAUACUUGCAUACUUACUUCUAUACUUGCAUACUUACUCACUUGCAUACUUGCAUACUUACUUACCUGCUACUUGCUCACUUACUUACUUGCAUAUUUGCAUACUUACUUGCAUACUUGCAUACUUCCAUACUUACUUACUUGCAUACUUGCAUACUUACUUACUUGCAUACUUGCAUACUUACUUGCAUACUUACUUGCAUACUUACUUACUUGCAUACUUACUUGCAUACUUAGUUACUUGCAUACUUAGUUACUUGCAUACUUGCAUACGUGCAUACUUACUUACUUGGAUACAUAUUUACUUGCAUACUUACUUACAACUUACUUUGUGGCCACAGUAAGACUUUUCUGGUGAUCAAAAGAGAAAAUACAGUUGUCCUACAGCUCUUUUUUAUUCCCUACAACUCAAUGUACACGAUGACAAAUGACGUAAUCCUAGCAAGCGAGUAAGCGAUUGUUCUAUAAUAGAAAGUCAAACUUGAGGGUUAACAACACUUACCGAUUACUGUUUGGUUUAUACACGUUUAUAUAGCUAAGGAAGGAUUGUGAUGCUGCAUUUGUGAGGUUACAACAAUCACUACUUUGGUCAGUAUGAUAGUCAAAGUUUUCCCCCUCCGCUAUCGGUUCUGUGAGAAAGCAUUAUUCUGUAAGAGUACUGGAUUGAUGUAUUCCGAUACAUCAUACAAAAACAGAUAAAAGAAAGAGAAAAGGAGACAGUAUAUGGAUGAUUUUACAUAGACACAGUUCUUAAAUGAAAAAUCACUCCAGUAAUAUGUUUACACAUUCCCUAUUGCCAGUGGAUGUUUGAGUGUUUGUUGAAAGCUCUGCGAAAGGCACAAGAGGCUCCCAGAAAUCUUCAUAUCACCACAUUGCUCCGUCUGUAUUUCACUAACCCAUUCCAAAUAUCCCCCUCCCCUCCCCGCUCAAGAUAAAUAUGAAACCAAACGAAGAAAUUCAUGCUUGAAGCAAGGGAACUAAUCUCCCUCCUGCCUGUUUCACUCCUCUGUGUUUAAUUGAUAGAAAUUGCACGCAUCAAAGAAAACGCACACUGAGAUUUAAUGGGCAUAAAAUGGACAUUAGCAUUUUAAAGAGGUGGAUUAACACAUUAAUCCGGGCAAUUUUUAUCCAGCACUUCCAAUGAGAUCGUCACAGCGCGCGGGCUCCUAAUGGGGCUUAACUGGCUUUCUGCUUUAGUGCUGCUCUCAGGGAUAACACCAAAACUUUUAGUUUUUGGAGAGGGGGAACGAAGAGGCUUAAUUUGUGUGAUGGCUCUCUGAGAACUAAGCUUUUUCUUCCAAGAGAACAGUCGUCCAGAUGACAAAUUACACAAGCUGCAACAGUGCCAUGGGUGUACUUCGAGUUCGUCCGAGAGGAAGACAGAGAUGUGGGUUUGAAAUGGUGAAAUUGCCCGUGUUUGGAAAGCAGCAAUCAAAGGGGCUGUAGUUGGAAGAUAAUCAUGGAGAUGACUCUUCAUUCAUGCUGAACAUAUGUGGUUUUCCUUGAAGAGGUACAUUGGUCUUUUAAGCACAUCUAUUGUGAGCACAGGACAUGGUUUUACCUUGAAAUAGGGCACAGAGUUUUCCUUUAAAUGAUCUCUUAUAGGCGGCCUGAUUAAACUCAUCUGAAGGCACUUUUGUGUAUCACUUCCAUAGCUGCUUGUUGUUUCGAAACUGCCAUCCCUACAGAUCCUAGCGCUGCUUUGGAUUCGUUUUACAUAUAACUUGUCAAACCUGAGAAGGAAGUGGCUGGCAGUUGGUCUCAGGGGAGCACUCGCUUUGUUUCAUGUGUGAGGGACGAACCCAUGAUGAGCACAUCAACGUCCUGUAUGUAUGCAUUCACACUCUUGUAUAUGAAGCAUGUUUAAACACACAUUGCACUGGUGCGAGCCGUCAUCACUGACAUGAACCCUCAGCGGCGGUGUUUAGACUACACUGAGCUCUCUUGAUGCAGUGGGUCCCCUACAAUGGUGCGCACUUUCAUUUUCAUCCCCAUACAGCUGCUCCUCCCUUUUGUUCCUGUCAUUUACACCGCAGUUUAUGCACACACAACAUGUAAGCCCGCUGUACCUCCAUGCAAAGAGAAUGUAAUGUAGGUCAUCAAACAGAGCCGACCGGGAGAGGGCUGUUGUUUGCGAGCAGCGAGGAAGCCUCCAGAGUAAAGUACUGAUGUGAAAGGAGGGGUGCAAAAAAAACAACAGAGGCAAAAAACACAAUGGAACAAACAAAAGCUUCUUCGACAAACUGUUAAAACGUAGAGUGCGUCUGUUUUGGGUGUUGUCACCGGUGGAUAGAGGUAAAGAAAGACAGAAACACUGCUUUCCCUCACUCUCUUUCCUCACAUGCACACUGGUGAAUAGUUUAUGCCAUACACCUCCUGCUCACCUCUGCUGUACUUUCCGUCCCAUUAUCGCUCCAACAUGAGAUUGCACUCAAGACAAUGUUGGAAUUUUUGAUAACAUGGAUUGUGAAACUGAAACACAGUUUUGAAUUAAUAAACAACAUAGUCUGGAGCUUUUAGAGCAGGAUCUACACUUUUUUCAUACCACUUGCUGUAUUAUUAGUAAUAUUACUUCUCAUCCCCUGCAUGUCGUCCAGUAGCGUCUGAGUGAUAUCAGAGAAAGCUCUCAGCGUCCUGGAUGAGGACAGGAGAUGGUUGUUUCCUGAAACAUGCUCUGGCAGGGUGCUGUGAUUUGAGUCACCACUGAAUCUGCAACACAAAUGACAUCUGAAAAGACAGGCUGCAGUCAAAGCACGGUUAUUCCAUUCUCUCCGUGCUACCUUUGCCUAAAAGCCCGGGACAUCUCCACUCACAGGUGCCAUGCUGGAAGAUUCUGGGUUGCUCUUUGGCCUAGAUUUGGAGCACAAUACAUUAACAGCACUGGUAAGAAAUCUCUUACUGCAGUGGACACAGACAUAACAGACUCUUUGGCCUGUAAAAAUAAGGUUAUUUCAUUUUUUAUAAAGCUCCUCUCACUCUGUCACAACCUCACACUUGCCCAACAAAUACAGUAACUCAAUCAGCCUCCCAUUUCCAACACGUGUUUACCAGAUCUCCUCUGUGAGAGAUAAUGUUCAAAUUCCUUUGGCAACCGCUCUCUCAUGGUCAGGAGAUUCUUGCCAGACAAUAAAACACUCAAAUGAUGUAUGCCGAGCCAAAAUAUGGAGGACAACAAAAACACUAACCACCUCCCCAAAAAGUACAAAUUCUUCCCUUCAAUCCACUUUUCUUCCCACUUUAUCUGUUCAAAUCUCAACUACCAAGCACUCCCUUUCUGCUAAUAAAGCUCGAUUUAUCUUGAUCUUGAAUAUGGAGAUAUUUCAAGUGAAAUAAAAGAUCUGGUACUGAUUUGAUCUGUGAGAGAAAGACAGCUAAUACAUAUACAGGAAGAUGUUUACCCAGGGGCAAACUGUGGCCAGUAUUUGAAACCCCAUCAAAGAUCUGGUCCCCUCACUGUCCUUUGAGAAUAAUUACACUUACUGUAUCUGCUGCUCAGCCUGAUUCGUGUUAGCAUCUUGAGAGACAGCCAAGGCACUUGGACGAAAAGGACAGAAAUUUAUGGUGCAACGCUUGUCUUCUCAUUUGCCUUGGCCGGGCUUUUGACAGCCUCAAAAAAGCUGGUAAGCUAGGAUACUUUGAACUGUAUGAUAAGGAUCAGCUCAAGUCAGACAGACGCUAUGCUUAGAAAAAUCCAAUUUUACAUAAGGGCUUUCAAAGAUGUGCAACAUGCGUAAUUGAAUAUAGAGUACCGCGAUAAAGUGAUCAAAGCGGGGAGCUUGCAAAGUUAAUGAAAAUAAAUAAAGCUAAAAAGUGCAUUUCUCUUUCGUGACAGGCUGGUUUAAAAGGAUGGUGUUUUAUCCUUAGUGCUGAGACCUGUCUUUUAAUAAGGAUCAUAAUGAGGGGUUUCCUUUUCUAAAAAAAAAAAAAAAAAAAAAAAAUCACAAGCUUGCGAACGGGACAGAAUUUGAUUAGGACAGCGAGCUCUCUUCGAUGUGUAUGUGUGCACAUGUAUGAAUGUGAGCGUGUGGAAUAGAUCCAUCCGUUCCUGAUGUGGCUCCCAGCAGUCGACAGCUCUGCCAACCGUUGUCAUUUUCUGGCAGCCAGAUUACUCUUGGGGUGGCAUUUUCACAGUUGUCAAGUGAGGAUUUAAUGGCCAAUUAUCCUCAGAUAAAUAUAUCUCUGCUGAGAAGCGGGAGCCAUCGUAGGAGUGGGAGACUAUUGCUUCUAAUUGUGGGCUAAAGAAAGAGGAAAACAUGUCUGGUCAAAGCCUCCAGAGACUGUCCGACUUGCUAUAUCCCUGCGCUGCUACUUCAUCAUCACCCAAGAAGGCAGUUGGAUCCCUUAAAAUAAAAUCCACUGCACUGUAAAUCAUGUGUUACACUUACAGCACAAAGUACACGCCGAUCGUUAAACAGGGUGUUGCCAUCUUCACUUUAACCAGAGCUGUUCUGUCGAUAGUUUUUUUCCUCACUGCUUUUCAUGACAGGGAAGGAAGUCACUCAGAGGAGAUUGUUUUGGCCAGUAAAAUGACUGAAACACAAGAAUGAGUGGACUGUAGGUCAGAAAAAAUGCAAAAUGAGUGCUUUUCUAGGGGGCUACAAUAGUAACAAGGGGAACGGGCAGUUUUUUAAAUCAAAUAGUAAGGUUCCUGCAUUUUUCAAAAGCGCCCAAAAUGUCACAAAUGAGGCAAAGUGAAAGACCUUAAACCUGUUAUAAUCCAGUCAAUUAAACCCAAAUUAAUCCAAUUUUCAAUCAACACAUUUGUUUCCUCUUUUCCUCGAGAUCAAGCCUCCAUGUGGUCAGGCUCAUACGGGGACAGAGGAGCUAGUUUUUGAGGCUUCCACCAUAAUAAAUAGUCCAGUUGCAGGCUCAAGCAUUAUACAGACAUACGUCUCAGUUGCUGGCAGGUUAGCAGUGUGUAGAUGUCAGUGGGUAUGGCGGCUAACAGGCUGAGCGGCCUGCAACAAAGUCACCUCGGGUUAAUGACAGUGACAGUCUCAAUCGCUGGGGUGGUGGAGAGGAUUUAAUGCUUCCCCUUUGGCACCAGGAAGUGCCGAUAAUGAUGCCGGGUGGCAUGGAGCAUGUCCCUUCUGACAUUAGCAAUGAUUUAAACUCCUGCAAUGGUGAGCAAGUUCAUACACGCACAAAGACACACACACAAAGAGGUAGACAGACACACAUAGUUAUUACUUCCAUGUGCUGCCCCACAUAACCCCACUGAUUAUCCUAUUUACACAUUAAUCAACAGAUCAGCGAAACUAAAAUAUAAUGUGACACAAAAAACCUUCAACAUAUCCAGAGGCCACUGACAACCUCUGUGAAAAAAACCCACAGGAUACACUUACACAAACACACAAUAAGUCCUUUAACAUGUAGGCUAAUAAUCUACUUUACAAAACAACAUGUUCUUAGAUAAAUAGCUGAAUUAGCAUUAUACAGCCAUUCUACAGGUUUUAAAGCCAAAAUUUGUGCUAAAGGCUUGUAAAUUGGUGCUUCUGCAGUAGCCUGAAUCCUCAUGGCUCAGCCCAACACCAGCGCGCUGGUUUUCACUAAUCGUACCGACUUACCAUAGCAUGGUAGAAAAGGUUGUUUUGGCUGUAUUUCUAUCAUAAUAAUUGGCUUUUUGUGACAGAAGUCCUCAGCUUUUGUGCGGCAUUUUGGAGCUAACAAGCUACUUUGCUAACCCCCCAACAACCAUGUGCAAUGACCUGCGCUACUGAUGUCACGGUCGAAGCAUGUCAAGCUAAGUGUCAGCCAUAUUGUAUGCACAUGGCUCAUUAUAUCAGAUUGUAACACACAAUUGAGUGGUGUUUAAAAAGUCCAAUUACAAUUCAACAUAAGGCUGUCACAAUGCAAAUCAAGAAAUGUGGAUUUAUCUGACUUAUUAAGGUACUUUUUCUGUCUGUAAUUAUACAUAUAGUACGGCAUGUCUUUGCCAUGGUGUAUAAUUGCAAAUAUUUGCUUAAUUGUGCUGUUGCAAUGACAAUAGAGUACAGUAAUUUAUUAAAAUGAUACUUUAAACUCUUAGUAGCACAGCAAUAUUGGAUAGGAAAGGAAAGGAUGAGUUCAUUUUUCACAGCUAACUAACUGUGGCUGUGGUCUAAUUAUGGCACAUUUGCUCCAAGUAGCUACACUCUAAAAGUUUCAUCAAACCUUAACCAUAUAUGAUCUUCACCCUGGCACAGUAUGUAAUGUGUGCCCUCUUCCUACCACCUUAUGUAAAGUAACCUCAGCCAGUCUGAUCAAUAUUGAACCGAACAUUUUCUUGCCACAUCGUUUGUGCUAACAAUCACUAUUUUUAUUCUCAGUUAGGCUUUGCCCAUCAUUCCCUGCUUCCCUCUCCUUUCUCGUCUCUCCUGCUUCCACUCUUUAUAUUUACAUUAUCAUCAUUGACACUGUAAUGAUUGGUGUGAUUAUGCAUGCGGACGGGGCUGUGAACGGGUGUGUUGACACGGUGUUGACAGGCUGGCGCGGUCACAUCUCUCCCACUGUCUCAGGUGGGAGCUCUGGUUAUGCACAGCCUUCAUUUAGAUUCGAUUACAGUGAUGCACGCCUUAUGGGUGUCACUUCUCUUCCGCUUCACAAUUUAGGGAGAGAGGAUGUGCAGUAAUUGUGCUACCUGGGUACCGAAGCCCUGGUGGCAAAUCAAGCAGCGGGUGCGCGGUGGCAUAUCGUCUGGCUGCUUUCCCCCGGCUCAUUUAUUUGCCUCCAGUUGUCAACGCAGGAAUAUCACUGUGUGCAAAUUAGUUAGCUGGGCCUUCAAGGAGCCACAAUGCCUUUUCCCGCCCACCACACCCGAGCGAUGCCUGUUAUGUCCAAUUACACACCCAGUAGCCCUGAUCAGCAUGUGUAACUAGCUUUAGCAUGAACAUAUAGAGAAUACACCUGCAAGCAAACAUACUAAUACUUAAUUACCUCUAAGGAGAAGUGUCUUCUCUUGGUUUUCAUCUCCUUUAUUUAUCCUCCUUGGGACUGCACUGUGCUGUGGAGUAAGCUGAGAGAUGCCGUGAGCAAAUGAGUGAUGAGGUAUUAGUAUAUUCAUACAGAUGUAUAUAUACAAAGAAAAUGCAAGUGAGCAUAGGCAUUGACUUACAAACAAUACUAUUAUGUGACACAUGCCACCGUGACACAUAUUCCCAAAGUAAAAAAAUCUGCAGGGAACAGGAAGAUCACAGUUUCUUCUCUAGUCGACUGAAUGUAUUCUCAUCUUACCAGCACCAAAGCCUUUGGGUAUUGCAUAUUGCAAAUAGCCCACAGCAGUGCACUUAUGUGGAACAGAAUGGAAAAGCACACUGGUUUUAGCUUGGUUAGAAAUGAAAUGUUAGAUCUGUAGCGUUUACUGUCGUACAGUUGUUGUUAUUUCAGUCUGUAGAUUUUUGUGGCGCGUCUCUCAACAUGGCCCGACCAGAGAGGCUGCAUUACUCAAGCUCUGGCCACAUGUGAGCCACACAUUACGACGAGCUGCGCUAGCCUCUGACCACCUCCUGCUCCUAAACUGCAGCGAAAACAAAAGAAGACAGAGAGUUCAAAGUGGUGUCUGUUUUGUGUGUAGUCAUGGUGGCCUGCCUGUGAAUGCUUUCAUCUUAUCUCUCUGUGAUGCCACAGUGCCCAGAGGGGGUGAUGUCACGGCGAGGUCAAUGUCAAAUAUGAAAGAGGGAAAAGUGGCUGCCAAGGACGUGUGGGAAGAGACAAAUUUAACCAGAAGUGUCCUGAGAUGGGAGGCAAGAAGGAACCAUGUGGCACGCUCGCCUACACGCCUGCACAUCAGGCCUGUAUACUGUCAGCCAACCGAGGCCUCAAGCCUUGGGGCUGCAGAUAGUAAACCACAUGCUUCCGUUUAUGUCUCUGUCACUCUUUGUCUCUUCUGUCAGUCUAUCUGGAACACAGUCAAAUGGACAAAGUGCUCCACGAACAAAGGGAGCAUUGGUAUAUCCUCAGUUCGUCGCUUACUGCUCAGAGCAGCCCUGGAAAUGUCAAACAGAACCAAGAUGAGAGAAGUGUCGCGAGUGGAAGAAACUGCUGACACCUCAUUUCCUUUCAUUCCCAGUUCUGAAGCUACUUUUGUCACAGAAUGUUUUAUAUAUAUACGUAGAUCCCAUCUCUCGUCACUCGUGCCUUUUCACCCGACAUCAACUGCGGAAACACAACACAUACUAUCACGCAAACUGCUCCUUGUGAGCCAUUUGUUCUACCGUGGUGGGGUGCUCUUUGUUUGAACCUACACCUCCUGUUUCUCCCCAAAUCUCCUUUUCAGAGGGAGUACAGAGGGGGAGACACUGUUAUUCAGACCGGCUCAGGGUUGUUCAGUGUGAGUGUGUUGUGAUUGCUGUCUCUACUAUCACUAUUCUUUUCUUCCCCAAAAACGUAAAUCUCAUGUUUUAAAGAUUCCUUUAAUGGGAAUCAAAGUCUAAAUAUUUCAAUACAGCUAUUUUAUUAUUCAGUAGACUCACAGGCAUUUGCAGCCAUCUAACUGCGAGAAAUCCAUGUGCCUUACGUCUUAGCGGCGCAGGUACAUGGCUUCAGCGGGCAAUAUUACAAGGAUUAGCAUGGCAUAUGAAAUAUUUAGUGGAUUUCCUCUCUCCUCCCUCUAAAACCUAAUAAAUCAAAUGACUGCCAAAUGUCAUUAAAGUGAUGGUCUUUGACUGGGUAUCUUUUCAUAUUCAAAUUUGGGCUGUAAGAAAUGAAAGAGCAGAAAGGUUACUUGGUUUAGCUGACAACUCCCAGUGCCCCAAUGCUGGUGGGUGAAGACUCGGCGAAGGGCAGAUGGAAAGAGGAAGGAGUAAUGGGGCACUGCGAGAGAGAAGUUAUUGUCUGACAUGCCAGCCGGGCGUCCUCGUGGCAUUGGUCUCCUGUUGGCGCAGGCAGAGCGUCUGGCCUACUGUUUUGAUUAGUCAAAGAUGUGUGUUUUUUUUUUUCCCCCACUUUCCUUUCUUUUUUUCCUGUGAGGUGUCACCUCACAGUAGAUCACAGGCAGGGGCUAGUGGGACAACCAGCUGUCUCUGUCACCAACUGUCACCAGCAUUGUCUCUCCUCCCUCACUGGCUGAACAGAUGACGGACAUCUGAAUGGCAGGCACAACGCUGCACCCCUCCGUCCCCCCCAACACACACACACACACACACACACACACACACACACACACACACACCCUAAACCCAGCAUACAGAGGAAUCAUCGAUAUUCAUCCCCUCGCCCACCUCCAGCCUCCCUUUCUGUGUUUUGAGUCAUUCAUAUGUAAAAGCAGAGAUAAAACAUAUGGUGCUAAUUUGCAACAAAUCAACAGUGACCCAGGCUGACUUCUACUCCGGAUAUUCAGAGUGAGAGUUACUAGACGCCCAGCACCUGUCUGUGUUUGAAGCCUUGCCUUAUUCAUUUCCAAAAUGUGUUGGCAAAGAGUGUCAACAAAGGCACAGCAGGCCCAUCAUUUGCAUUCUUCCUACAAGUUGACAUAAUGAUGUAAAUUAUCAAAGAAAACUGAUUUUGUGUAAGACACCGAGCUUUUUGUAAUGCCACUGGCGUUGGUCUCACGAGACGUUUUGAAAAGGAAAUUAUAAUAAAUACACGAGGCACUGUUUGUUACCUUAACUCCAAAGGGAAAUCAGCUUCAAAAUCACAUUGAUGUGAACUCCAUGAAUGGCAGCUGUCCUCAUGUCAACACCUCAUCUGAAAUGACAACUUUCAUCUAAGAGCAAUACAGUGAGGCAAACAAACUUUGAUUUCUCCUCACUUACAUCAUUAGAACUGCUCAUAAGGUCACGGCAUUGGGAAUCAGAGUGAAGAACAUCAUGAAAACAUAGCAAGAUAAAAAAGAAACAGCAUUGACAAAGUUAAUAUCCAUUAUACAUCAAAUUAAUAUUGUUAAUUUUGAAUAAGUCAGAUGUGUGAAAUAUUCAUGUGGAGCUGUCCAAAGUUUUUUUUGUAUUCCUUUUCUCUCCUCCUUCUUCUUCUCUUCCCGUUGACUCGACUUUCUUCUCCAUUAAUUAUCAUGCCCAGGAGGUUUUUCAGGGAGAGGAGCAGCCAUCAGGCUGAAUCAUCUUGACAAGGCGGCAUGGCCCAAUUACACCAGAGCUCCGCCGGGCUUUGAUGUGGCGGAAAAGCAGAGAGAUAGGGGCAAAUUGCACAGCCAUAUUAUGGUAAUGAUCUGAUUUAAUCCUGCCACUAAACUUUAUGUAGCUUGUUUAAAGAAGAUGCUAACGCUAAUUACAGAGGUGCGCAGAGGUGCUGGGUGGGAUCGGGUGGAGAAGGCUGAGCCGAGGGGGCUUGCGGGGAUGGUGCUGCCACAGUGGCUGCUGGGAGUUUCGAGUCUACAAAGUGCAGCUCAUAAAUGUUGUAAAUGAAAAUGAGACAAAGUGGACUCAUUUCCGUUUAAUUAUACAUCCCACACAGGUGAAAAGGUCAGGGGUAUAGCAGGGCAUGUGCGCGGGCUCAAAACCUGUUGGGCUACUGCUGCUAAUUAACACAUCUGAGGAUGGGAGGUAGAGCAGGUUUCGAGAGAAACAGGGAAGAGACUGAGACAGGAGUUAAGGGAGAAGCGGGGAGGGGGUUAGAGAGGGGUGUUACAAGGAACGCGCGAUAAUAUCAGCCUGUAAUUAACUUGUCACUUCAAUUACAGCCCCUCAGAUUGGAAUUGUCUUGGGUUAUGGCGCUGGGCCCUGUCUAUAUGGUUAAUUAGUCUGACGAGUAGCCACCAUGCUCCUCUCCGCUCUCCACGCCGUCACGCCCGCAGCAACUCAGUUUACUGUUCCUGAUGAUUGACUAGCAUGGAGUAAAGAGCCAAUCAAACUUGAGAGAGGAAGCGCGACUGAUCAGCUGUCAGAGGUAAACCGACUCCAUACUGUCCUCUGUUUUAUUCAGAGGCUGCUGUGGCUUUAACCUCCUCGGUUGUUUUUCUUGAUCAAUAAUUGAUGUCUUUGUAAAAGGUCUUUGGACCCACAAUGUGCUUGAAAUAAGUCUUGGCUGAUUCUAUCUUUAAUAGGAAGGACAGACAGAUUGUCAGUACCACAGGGACCGAUGAACCUAAGUUUCUGCAUUCAAAGAGUUAAUUGAUCAAUCAUUUAAAGCUUUUAAGUUCAGUAAAAGAAGGACAGCUCACUGAACUCUUCUUGAACCCACCUGCCAACAAAUUCCAACGGUAAGACCAUAUUUGAUUCGAAAAAUAAAAAGAGGUGAUCAAAAUUGAAUAAACGGUAAAAACAAAUGGUGAAUUCUUGAAGGAGCGAGUCUGUAUUUAUCAGACCAUAAGCCAUCAGUUCCAGUGGAUAUAUGAAAGUGAAUAUAAAUAUCACACUGACAAAUUGCAGACUACAGAGUCGUCACAAAGCUUCCUUGUAGGAGCAGACUUACCUUUGAUACCCACUGAUAUAUUCUUAAGGAAAACAGCGUAUACAUCAAUAGACAGAAAAAAGUAAACAUAAUUAUCUGUUUGCAUUAUGCUCAGAAGCAGAUCAAAGAUAUUUAGCAUUCUGAGAAAGGUUUUUAAACUUUUUAAACACAAGUGAAGUGCUAUAAAUAUACAUUAGAGAGAAAGUAGCAGAAUCUGCAAUGGCUUGUCCUCUGUGUUACCUCUCUCCGUGAAGAUGAGGACAUCUCCAGGGACGCUGAGGGCCUCUUUGUAAGGAUUCAUCACUUACACAGGCAGUUGUGUGUAUUAUCACAGCUCAUGGUGUAACUCUUUGAAAUCUCACUGUUAUGCAGAGCUUGUACUUGUGAAGUGCUUGUGAAGAUGUGUCGAGCAUUCUGACACAGGUAUAAUCCGCGCUGGGCCGCGGUGGAUCGGAGUGUUUUCACAGAGUCUCGGAGGAAACUUUGACAGUUCUCGCUCCAUCAGAUACUUCCUUCAUGCAUUUAUUUUAGAGAACAAAUGUAAGAUUAAGAUUCAAAUUAAGGCAUUAAGCUUUGCUUGAUGUUACAGUAACUGUUUUAUUCAGACAAACGUCACAUUGUCUAAUUGGGGACAUGUUUCCUUGCUCAUUAUACUCAGUCCAAUGAAUGUUUAACAUAUCUUAGUCAAUUCAUGCAAAUCUGUUUCACGGGGUUACUGUUUUUAAUGGAUUGGCACUCUGACUUUCACUUUUGAUGGUCUAUCUUAAAGUAAAAUCAAAUUCUUUUGCAAUAAUACAUUGUAUGGAGUGUGGUAGGACAUAGUGAAAGUGAGUAGUUGUUCUCGGCUGGGUCUUUUCUUCUGUUUCUUUUCCCGUUACACUCUGAAACAAAUGUGAAACUCCAAACAGUCAAAGCGCAACAGAUCAGUUUCUAACCUAGAACCAUAUUUGUGUAAUCAACGAUCAAACUUCUUCAUAAUACUUUGAAUGUCAAUAAAUUUGCCAGUUUUUGUAUAUUUAAAUCAGAAAUAUAUUACUUUCAAACAAACUAUCUUUGUCAUGUUUUAUAUGAUUGACACUUGAUACAGCCUAUGGGCGUAAAAGGAUUGCGUAGCUCACCUGGGGGAUACGCUAUUUGAGCCAAGCGUCACCACAGCUACUCUUGGCGACUCUCCCGCCGAAUGCGCACAACGCUACUGCGCAAUGUUGGUUUCAGGAAAUGGAGAGAAAACGUGGAAUUACUGAGAGCUUUUCGGCUUCAAAUCCUUAUACUGGCAGAAAGUGGAACCAAGUUGUCGAUAGUAUAUACAGUCUGUGGGGCAGUGUGUUUCAGAUUAGUCAGAAGAAAGUGGCUUACAUGCUAAUGUCAAGACAAUACAUAGACAGCUGUCUAAGAAAGUUGACCCAGACCCCCUUCUCCCCAGUAAUGUUCCCAGGCUGGAUGGGAUACAUUAUCCCUCCAGCGAGCUCUGGGUCCACCCUGAGGCCUCCUCCCUGUUGAAUGCGAAGGAGGCAUCCUUAUCAAAUGCCCGAACCAUCUCAACUGACUCCUUUUGAUGUGAAGGAGCAACAGCUCUACUCCAGGCUCCCUCCAGAUGUCCGAGCCGAACCCCAUCUUCUGAGGUUCAGCCCAGCCACCCUUCAGAGGAAACUCGUUCUGGCUACUUGUAUCCACAGUGUGGGUCUGACAUUGAACAGCCAUGGCUCGUAACCAUAGGUGAGAGUAGGAAUUUGAGUAAUGCUUUGCCUUCAUGGCUUAGCUCCCUCUUUGUAGCGAUGGUCCAGCACAACACUUGGCUUUCAUACUUUGCUUUUUGAUAAUGCUAGUAAGACUCAUAAAACCAUUUAAGGGAAAAUGUUUAUCUUUUAAUCCAAUUGAAACAGCAUACAUGUGGCGAUGAAAUUCAUCAUCCAUCAUAAGUCUGAACAGCAAACUUAAAAAACUGAUAGAUGGGAAUCACAGCGGAUUUAAUGGGGAUAAAAAAAAAACAGCAGUUACACCCUUGAACAAAAACAUUGUUUUUCUAUGAAGGCCUGCCAUCAGAAUAUGUCAUCCAGCUGAGGUUAUGCUCCCCCGGUCACUGAAGAAGUCUUGGCUAUGAAGAGCAGGGGUGGUGGUUGCGCGGAGUCAUGAUGAGGCUUCCUCUUUGCCUUGUUCUCCUACAUGUAUCUGUCAGCCUGCGGCCUUCAGAACUCAAGCCCAGAAAGUCCUCUGAGGCUCCUUCUGUCUGACAUUGUCAUUACUGGACAACAUACAAAUGUUGUGGUUUACAAGAUUGACAACAAAAAGAAAUACUGUUUCUUUUUCUUGUUUCAGAGAGGCAGCGUGAUUGCGCACAUAUUUACUGGAAGUGUUAUGAUCCAUGAAAAAAAUGGCAGACCUGUCAAUCAAAUCUGGCAACAGCAAGUAAAUGAAAUAACGUUUGUUGAUUAGACUCAAACUGAGGGGGGGAUUUAUGGUCCCCCUACUUGCCGUUGCACUCUCACUCUCUCUGGGUUCAUGCAGUUUCUCUUUUCUGUAAUUUUUAUUUCCCAAAUUUUGUUCCUUUUUACGAUUUGGUGCCUUUCAGUCAAACAAAACCAUGAGCCCUUGGUUAGAGAAAGUGAUAAUUGUCAGACUGGUCUGGCUCUGAUAAAGUGGCAGUCAUCCAUGCAAAACUUGCCUCACCAGCAAUGACAGCAGCAACAAAGAAUGCACACCUCAUGAACGCGCUGGCAUGCAGCAUCUCUGUAAUAAGACGGCUGCAUCCAAAUGAGCUCUGUUAUCAAGCUCCUCCAUGGUGACUUGCCAAUGGCUGGACUGCUAGCAUGGCUGCUAUCCAAUAGUAAGAACCCUUUGAUCAGCAAUAGCCAAUACUGUGGCGGCAUUACGGGGCUGACUGAAGCUCAUACUUUUUGUUUUUCCAUUUUGCAACUUGUUUACAAGUGAAUAAGGAGCCUCCUCCUUCUCUGUUGCUGUCAGUCAGUGUAACUGUCAUUGACAGCACAGUUUGGCCCACUGCGCUGGGGACAUGAAGGAAAAACACACCGAAGACAAGCCUUUGGAAAAUUGUUAAGCUGCGAGGGUAAAAGGCAAAAUUAGUCUGACAAUUACUUUUCAAUAGUGCUUUUAAGUCCACGUGGGGAGAACAAAAGGUAUUGAACUGAUUAAAGUUUAACCCUUUUUUUUCUCCUCCCAGCGAGGAUCAAACAUUGAAGUUCAGCCAGCUUCUUUCAGUGCUGCCAUAAAAGUGUCCCUUCUCUCGCACACAUGAUGUGAGAGCUGCAGAAGUGUAAUACCUCAUACUGUUUGAAGAUUACAAUAUCUUUAUGAGCAUGUACCAAAUGUUCAUGUGAAGCAACAAAUCUCUGGACUUAAAAUUUGAACAGCCACCCGCGUUUGAACCUCACGGAUGUGAACAUAUUCCGUUUCGACAUGAGGAUGGUGUCAGCAUCAAGUGCAGAAGAGUUGUCCAGUUUAUUGUCAGUCCUUUUUUCAUGUGUGAGAGGAAUGCGCAUGUAUUGAAAAGUUAUCAUGAAAAGAAUGAAAUAUGAUCACAAUGUUGUCACAGUUCACAAACUGCAGAGCUGCUUUAUGAGAUGACGCCACAAAUACCAAAUCUGUCCGUUAUUGCAAGUGACAUUGUCAUUAUGCACUGACACAGCAUCCCUGCUCUAGUGGGGCAUAAAAAUGUCCUACUAAACCAGCAACAUAAACACGCUGAUAAAUUACAUUUAUAUGCUAUCAAGCUGCGACAUUUGCUGACACCAGAAAUGUUUCUCCAGAUCUGCCGAGGCGAUGGUUCUCAUUAUCCAGCCGAGGAGUGAGCGGCGCUGGGUUGUUAAUGAAAAAUACACAGACAGUGACCUUUGUAAAGUCUUCCUGCAAAUGACAGAGUUAACAAACUCCAGUCAGGGUGCAGAGAGAGCUGGAGGGAGUGAAAAAGAGUUGAGUGACUCAAGAUACAUAGACUGAGUGAACAUUUUAUUCGUCUGUAUCCUACAGUUGUCAUGGUGGAUGGAUACUGACGGGGUCAGAAAGGUCACAACUGUUGCUAGCUAAUGCCUGUGCUCCAAAUAUGUGAGCUGCAGAUGGAGAAAACCUCAGACCUGAGCUCUGUCUCGGCUGCAAGAGGACUGGAACAAGUAAAAAGACUACGGUUUUACUUAACAAAGAGUGCAGAAGAAUCUCUAUAAUGGCUAAUGUCUUAAUUAGCCCAUAAGAAAUAAUAGAGGCCAGGACGGAAACACAUCCUGCCAAAUCAUGACAAAAUGGCAGCAACGGUUCAAUUGGAUUCCUGAAAAACAUGCAACUCAUUAAGCGUCAGGGCAACACACUAAUUUACUAUUUUGCAGACAAGGUUUAUUGGGCUAAAUCAAAUGCAACCUCUUAUUAAACAUAGGUGUGUCCAGCAGACAGCACAUAAAAUUAUAUUUUGUUUCCUUUUAUGUAUCCAGAUAUUCAAUUUAGUAUUCUUGUGGUAUAAUUGUACAACUGUAAAGACACAUUGAGUUACAAUUAGAGGAUUUACUGCCAAGAAUGAAAUUAAACCGCCUGUGACCUCUGGGUUCACUCGGUUAUUUCCAUAAAUCCUUGCAUGGACGGAUUUAUUUAAAGACCUUAAGAUGGACUACCAGACAAUCUGUGAAUGUGCUGACUUGAUGAUGCCGCCAUGUUUUUCACACCACAGCCUGUUUGGCUCCUCUAGAGCUUAGCUGAUCACUGCUGAUGAAAGGGUCAACACAAUGACAUAUGCUUUAUGAGACGCAGUCAGCCCUGGGACAAUUAAUGCUGGGGUAACCAUCCUUUAAAGUGGUGCCGUUAAUGCAGCAGUACUAGCAGACUGUGCAAAAGUUUUAUUGUUGAGCAAUCAGCUUCGACAAGCCAUGGGUGGAGCUGCCACAUCAAGAUGAUUUAGAGGGUGUCCAGUGCAUCUUCAACCAAAUGCAUUGUUCUGUUUUUCCAUCAUGAUUGCCUUUGUACUGUCUGCUUAUAUUAUCUGGAUCCAUCUGGGGUACCAAGAAGUUUCAAAAGAACCUCUAAAAAUUAUUUUCAGACCCUAGCUCAGCAGAUCUCUGCUCUAAUGCCGCCUCAGAAGUUUCGGGAAAUGUUUCAGCACUUUGUUGAGUUAUUCUUUGCUCCAUGGCAGGUGCCCUUUCUCACGCUCUCUCUGAGACCAUCUGGGCCUGUCCAGCCUCAGCCUCAGCCUGCACCGAGCUCACUGUCUGCCAAAGCCCUGUCACACCUGAGUACAGAAGAUCAAAGAGCCCUGCAGUGCCUACAACCAAACAGCUGCUGCACGUGCCAAACUUCCUUCCCAGCUCUGUUUCUCUGCUUUCAGCACAUGUGUUUCCAAGGUUGACCACUAAUCCUCGAUUUAUGUGCAUUAUCGGCUCUCUAGAACUCGCUGGAGUGACAGCUCUGGAAACUCUCAGCCAUGUCGUUGUGUCUUUGCCAUUGUUAUCCCCUUUGGUUUGUUCAAUCUUUGGUCUCUUUGUCUAUUUGCUUGUUUUUUGUUUGUUUGUUCUAUGUUAACUGUGAAAAGCCGCAUUUGGAGCAAGAGGAGUAUGAGGAGAAAACUGCUGUGAUCUUACUUUGCCAAACCAAAACCAGUAAGGCAUAAUUGUCCUUGGGGUUUCCACUUGUAAAACAAUGGCUUUGGCCAGCUGAAGAGGCAGGUUUUUCUACCAGCCAGCUGAACAGAAGUGUGUUUUCUGUUCAGUGCUGAACUAAAGCUCCAAAUUGGGACUGUCAUUAAAGAAUCCCACAGAGACUGCUAACGAUGCAAAACACUGGCGCAAACCAAAGCAAGUCAAAUCUCAGGGGUAAAUAAAUAUCUCAGAUACAGCUGUGUAUCUAAGCAACAAACAAACAGAUUAAAAAUAUUGCCGUUUGAUUAAAUAGGCAGGAGAGAGCUAUUGAUCGUCACUUGGCUUGCAGAGUUCUUUAAAUUGUGUCUACCACUUAAACACUCAUUGGCACAGAGGAGGGAGGGGAAACUUGAGAUUAAGUUCAUGUCUUCUGCAGCUCAGUCCUCAUCGAGCAAGUGGUGUUAAAGCGAUUCCAUCGACUUUUGCAGAUGCACUCAAUCCAAGUUAACUUUUUUUUGUUGCCAUGAUUGAUUUGGGAAUAAUCACCAGGGGUCCUUUGAAUUUCUAAGCCACAUUAAUUUCCACUGGGAAAUCCAUCUUUGUCCUUUUACAUCAAGUAAAGGGAAGAUUUAUUUGUACUUCCCUUUCCAAUAAUGAAUCUAACUCCUAAGACUAUUGCCAAGUGUUAAUGAUAAAUGUAGUCACAGCGAAUUUCGCUCAUAUGUUUUAGAACUUAGGAAUACUUUCUUUUGGAGCGGUUGGUUUUUGGAUGAAACAAGUUUCUGCAGUAUUUGGAAAAUGCAAUGUACAGUAUAGUCACACUCUGGGAUUGUUAAAUUCAUUAAAUUUUUUAAGGCACUGGCAAAAACAACCGCAUGCAGAAGUGUCUCUGCUCAGGAGAACAUUGUACAGACCUACAACCAAUCAGAUUAACACAGUGUGACAGAAAAUGUAAACCGACAGCAGCAACUGAUCUUCAUAUAAGUGCAGUUGUUCAUUCUUGUUUUAAGGAUAACACAUCAUCCACUUAAUUCCAAACAGCCACAAUAGUGAAUUUAAUGGACUUCCAGCAGAAGCUGUCGUCUUCAGACAGCACACCUACAGUGAGUAGUUAUCUGAUAGAACCAUUUUUUUUUAAAAAGGACUGUGAUUGGUCUGGUAUACCUCCUGACAUCACUGUCCUGUGAUUACCCAGUAUGAAUAAUCUUUGGCUGUGUCCAAAACUCAAGCUAACGUACUCUUACAUACUGAAACAGUAAGUAACACAGUUUCUACUAACUUGAUAGUUAGGUUGCUGUUGACAGCAUAACAAUGUAUAAUAGUUCAUGUCUUCUUGAGCCACAUGUCACUUCAUAAAUCAUCUAUUUCUGGUCCAAACCGUGGUCUUAAAAAAUCUCUACCGAGUCUCACUUGUGAUAGUGGUAGCUCUCUAGAGUCUCUAGGGUCGUCUACAUGAGCCCAUGAGUUACACAACGUAACGAUCAGGUACUGAAGGAUGUCUCCUGCUUGUCAGUUAUCACACAGAUGUAUUCCCUCUCUCCGUCAAUCUGUUAAGUCUUGUCCUACCUCUGUUCUCACAUUAUUCUCACAUUUAAUCUGAGUUUUUCUCUCCCUGUAUUUAAUAUUCAGUAGUAAAUGGGAAGACAAAUUGGAAAGGCUGAUUUGCUAAAGUGACAAAAUCUCCUUAAAAAAGGGGGAUAAAUAUCCAGAAAGACUAAAAAGGCCAAAAAGAUUACAGAAAAGGUGGUUAACUUCAUCGCUUUUUGACAACCAGCUCAAUGGAAAAGUAAAUAAAUUUAGGGUAUGACCAUAAAAGCUGAUCAGGCUAUCAAUAGUGCCUUUGUUUUAUGUUGCCAUUUGUGGUUCGUCCUUUAAUAGUUGUGAUGAGAAAAUACAGUGCUGAGCAUUUUAUGAUGUAGCUUAUACUUACACAAAUGUCAGUGUUUGGGUUGGACUUCCUUAAAAUCAGCUAUAUUACAUGGUGAAAUGGACCCCAUCUAAAGGACUUGAUACCCCAGCUUUGGUUCUGGUUCUCCAGCCAGUUCCUCAACAAAGGGGCCAAACCAACUGGCACCCCCUGAGAGUAAUAGACUGACUGUUGAGAAGUACCUCAUACAACCCCACUAUAAAAGAAAACAGACUAUUCCUUUAAAGCUAUUUUUUAAAAACUUGUCAACAUCAGCAUGACUUCAAAAAAGUUUUCAGACUAUUGAAACUACAGAGCCCCCCAAAAAGCCAUUUUAACAAGCUUUAACAGACUGAGAAUACGCAUGUAUUCAUGAGAGAGCCUUGAGAGUGAAAGGUUGACAUAUUGUUGUCAAUGUGCAAUUUGGAAAACUUUAGACACUCCUGCAAAUAGAAACAAUAGAAACAUAGAAUAAAGACAAAGCCUGAUGAGUUUUACGACCACUGACUCAUCUUGUUCUGCUGGAGCAGUGUUGCUCAGAUAUUAGAGGAAAUGGGUAGCUUUUAAAGGUAAAGAUAUUAAUUUCAGCUACAGACAAUGACAGCAGUGUUUAUGGAGCUGCAUAACGGAGAAACACUGUAAUCUUUCUGAUAAUUUCUAAUCAUCCCAUGUAAAAGUGGAAACCAUGACAGAGUUCACUCAAUCUGUGCCCAAUUUUUAUAUCAGAUGCAGCUGUUUUCUUUGAAUGAACUAUAAUUCAGAGAAAAAAAUUGCUUGCUCGCAUAACUGAUAUUCACUGUACCAUUACAGAGAUGCAAGCAAGGCCACGCUUUUAUUUUAUGAUGCAGAUGUUUAUCGCAAAUGAGUCACUGCUCCUUGGCACUAAAAAGCAGCGCUGUGAUGUACCGGCGUUACUGUCCAACUGCCAGAUGCAGCGGUCUCAUUUUAAUGUUUUCAUGACAACUGUUAAAUCUCCACAAAGCCACAGCGUUAGCAUAUCCAGAAGGUCAGAUAUGGACCACUGCUGCUGAGUUUCCAUCUAGAGUUGCAUUCAAGAUGUUGCAGUUUCAUCCUGAUAUGGGAAAUGUGGGAUUUAAAUAAUACGGUGUGUAACCUUGAUCUGCUGUCCUGCUUCUCUGAGAUGAAGAUGUAUGGAUAUCUGAGUGCUGAACAGAUCAAGACAAUACAGGUAGCAGAUCAUCAUCUUUUGAUUAAAUAAAAACCUGUCUGUAUCUAACACUAGUUUGUCCUAUUCAGAGUUGAAUAAGAAUAAAAUACCCUUUUCUUUAACUUCAAUUAUAGCAGACUUUAUGCUGAAUCAAAAGAAAACGAGAUAAAGAAUUCAAACUGCGUCUAAAACAAAUGUUCUGGACACAAACUUGAAGAAAUGAUAAAAUGUCUCCUAAAGUACAUCCUCAGUCCCAUAACCCAUUUCUUUAUUUUCAAGUGGAAAGGGCUUCAAGUAGGGAUAGUUGGAGCUAGCUUUUGUGAGGAAUUAUAAUAUUUUAUCCAAACAACAUGAGCAUACAUUGCAUAACACAAACCACAAUCUUGGAAGACGUGAUGCAUGUUGUCAAGGGAAAAUUGGAAACCAAUAAACUGGUAGUGCUGUUUCACAAUAACACAUAUAAAUGUUGAAAUGGGGGGGACUUUUGCUUGAGAAACCAAAAAAAGAUAAAUACUUCAGAGCUCUGCUCACACCAGUACACACAUAUUUUGUCAGCAUCGUCUAUGAUCACAUUUCUUCUGUUUUUGGGUUCACAGGUUGUCAGCUAAACUGUGAUGUACUAAUAGGAGCCAGAAGCUUCCGGGGUCAUCUGGGGAGUAGUGACAACAUGCCACUCACCAAAUCAUCUCUAGUCUUCUAAUGUAAAAAUUAACCAUCCUCUUUAUGCCGACCACAGCGGAUUUGAGAGUGGCUGGGCUACAUGGCUGUGCAAUGCUUCCUUCAUAAUUCAAUAAGGAUCAGUUUCACUACAGAGAGCGCUGAAGUCAGCGAAGGGAAAUCUUUAGAGCAACAACUGAAGUGCAAAUGCUGCAGCUUGCCGAAAGGUUUCGAUUUUGGUUGUCAUGCGCUCCGUGUUAGACUGAGGCUGAAAGCAUUUGGUCCGUCGCCUAAUGUUUUCGUGUUGGCACUCGCCUUCUCGCCCGAAUGGGUGCCAGAUGUCUUUUUGUUCCUAAAGCAGAGGACCUAAAGCACGGUGACUAUGAGGGCUCUCACACUGUUCCAAAAAACCACCAGCAAUGUACACACAAACUGGCACCAUUUAAUGAGUCACACAAUUGCUUCAAAGUGAAAUUACAGCCAUUUAAACCUGUCUUACACAUCACCCAAAGAGGCUCUGAAAAAAGUGUCUACCUUCAAUUUAUAGCCGAAUGAAAACCGCGAAGACAAAAUGGGGACAUGUGCAAGUUAUUAUGGAUACACUGCAUACACUGUGAUGAGAGCAGCAUGUAUAAAAGGGGAGGGAGAGGGAGGGGUGGCAUAAUCUCUGCCCGGCAUAUUUGUAUCAUACCAGACUUUGAAAUGGAAAAAUCAAAGGAAAGCUUUUUAGAACAAAAUGUGAACUCUGUUACCGUCUCCUCAUGACCGGGCACGGUAUAUAAUCAUCAUUUCAGCUGUUGUUUCAGGCCAUCAAAGGCUCUGUGCGCGAUUACUAUAUCACAGGUGAUCACAGGAAAGUCAGGAGACAUGCUCUGUGAAUAAAAGCAGCCCAUGAAAAGUACAGUCUGAGCUGCUGACAGAGUACAAAGAGGGCAGAUUGUUUUGGCAUGUAAAGCUUUUGCUCACAUUUAUAAGAAUAUAGGGUUGUAAAGCCUUAAUAAAACACCUGGGACUUAUGGAAAAAGUCAGUGGUGGCUUACAGUUAAGAGACAGAGGGCCACCAGGUCCUAACAGCUGUCCAAAGACAUGUGGGUGGUUGAUAUGCUGGUGACUAGACUCGUGCUGAUGUGAGAGCCUGAAAACUGGCCAACUUGCUUUGGCUUUGUGUAAAGUUGCUAGCUUGUGUUUAACCAGUGUUAAAGACAUUUGCUAGUGACAUGCUUCAUCAAUUUCUAUCAUUACAAACAACACAGCUAGCAAGGCAGAAUGGAAUGGAAAAAUGGAAAAUAGUUAAAAUAGGGGCAUCUUAAGACAUCACCUAAACAUGCUGCCAGACUUGAAAUGGACAACAGCCUUGACCCAACAAAACAGCACUUUAAUCCUCCCAUUAUGGCAUAAAUUGAAAUAGUUGCUAAGGCCUCUUUAUUUCCAGUAGUCCUGUCUAAUAAAUGUGCCGCUCUGCUUUUGAGCUAUGCUUUUGAUACGACUCCUGUCUUCUAUUGGGUUGAGCAGCUGGGCAAGUAAGUUGAUUCUGAGGCCAUAACUGGUCCAUAAUUUCUUCCAUCCCCACAGUCCAGCAGUGCCGCCUCUGUCGUCCCUUUUAGAAGAGGAAAAAGACCUGGAGGAAGUAACACCUGGUUCCCUGGAGCCCUGUUGAGGCCCUCAAAUCGGGAUAGCACAUGCAGUUGUACUCUGAGUGGCUUGGCGAUGCUCAGCUGCAGCAGAAAAGACACUGAGGUGUGUUUCUAGGAGAGCCAGCUGAGCAGAUGAUCUGAGGCGAGAAACACUUAGUGAUGACAUUUAAACAUUUUAGAUGAGAGGUGGUGGCUGCGUGGGGAGAUGGUUGGAGGAGCGUGAUUGAUUCUGUGAAUGCAUUUCAAUUGUGUGCCAGGGUUAUCAGGGUAAAAUCAGGUAACCUAACACUAAUAAAUCUCAGUGUUCUUUACAUGUGCUGUGCAGAAAGCCUGGCUGUUUUUGUAAAACUAACAGCCACAAGGAGAAAUGUCCAGCCAAUAUGUUCUCCGAAAAUGUGCGCACACAUAUGACAUGGAAGUUGAAAUAUUAAAGAUGAUACCAUCGCGCAUACACACAGAUGGACGCAUACACCAGACUUGGAGCAUCAGCUUCACAGACCGUACUCCUCUCCUGCUGCGUUUAAAGUAAAACCACACAGGGGCUGCAGCCCCAGUCUACACAUCUGGAUGUGCUGCUGUAAAAACAGGCCGCAGUCCCCCUCUUCUUCCUCCUCCUUCUCCUCCUGCACAGUCAUCAUCAUCUUCAGCCCCAUUAUAAUCCCCAUCUCACUGUGUCCGUAAUUAUUCCACGCAUGCUUUUGCAACAAAGCAGUAGCGUAACCAAAUGACAAACAGAUUAGAGCUAUAAAUUAAGACUUAUUUCUUACUUUAAUGGAAAACACACACAACGUUUGCCACUAAUUUUGUGCAGCAAAAAGUUUUGAUUGUGCACUUUCCCUCCUUAAUAGUGCUACAUUUAAACAAAUAUACCUGUUGAUUUAGCUGGAAACAGUAAAGUAGUUUCCUGAUUAGUUAAUCAUACUCUGUGAGGGGAUUAGGCAGCUCUAGGGCUCAGAUACCCCUGCAAUAUUGUAAUAAUUAGACUUGUGAAUCUUCAUACACAAAUAACAAAAAUCAGUCAUCUCACAUGGGACAAGUAUUUGGAAAACCAGCCAACAGAAAAACAUUUCUUUGGGUAAGCAGUGCCAUAAAUCCACAUCAAGUGUCAAGCACUUUCUCAAUUAUGUUCAAUUACAGAGCGCAGCAUAAAUCCUCCAAAUCUCUCCGUUAUAUGAGUUGUGUUUGUGUCGAAGAGAAUACACACUGCUGUUGAAGAAUGUCUCACAUCAAUUGAGCAUUUUCCGACUCUGGUAGUCUUUCCACAAAAAAAAAAAAAAAAUGUAUCAGACCAGGACAAUCUGCAGCAAUUUUCCUCCUUAUUACAAGAACCUGACAUCUGAGAGCAGACUGAACAGGACAAGAAGAGCAGAUAAUAGGAGACAAGUUCUUUCCCCCUGCCUGAGGCCCGUCACUCAGCCGUACCCAGCACUCACUUAAUCAAGCAGGCAUGUGGCAUCGUGUGGCAACUGCCUGGGCUGCAUAAGUACAUGUCUUGUGGUUCGUGCUGGUUUAAAACAGGACGGAUGUGGCACUAGUGGCAGCCUGUCUCAACUUGUUCCUGGUAUGUUUAUUUUGACAGUCAGCUUAGACCCCAUGGCCAGGCCCGCCUUGCCAAGAGUGAUCCGAAAACAUAAUACAUUUGGUUUUCAUAGACAAAAAUAGGAGCCACAUUAUCCUUCCAAUAUGGAGAGCUGUAGCUAAGAAAAACAUAUAAAUAUGUUUUUAAAAACUCAUUUAAUUUGUUGUUUUUUUUAUCCUCCUGCCUGCUGGCUUUUUUUUAGAAAAGAGCGUCAAUACUUGUGCACAGGCGGUUCAGCCCAGAACACCAUGUGUAUGAACAUUAAUCAAAUGUUCCCGGGCCUUGCCUCUGGUACCCAAUUCACAAUAUAACAAAUGUUCCUCCAAGCAGCACAUCUGUAGAGGAUGUCAAAAAAGGACUUUGAAAUGUACACCAACGCCAACAUUUGGUAGACAAGAAAAGGAGGCUUUGAAACAGCUCCCAUUGGAGGUGCUCGCUGAAAGGAAGAGCAGCAGGGUAUUGAAAAGAUGUCCAUUUCCCCCAACUUUUUUUUUUCUAUAUGUAAAUCCACGUUCCCUGCGGGUUCCGAUUCUCAGCGAGGUAUCUAUAUAUGGAGCCACUUUAUUACGGACAAAUCCUCUUUAAUGUUCUUGUCUGCGGAAGAACAGCUGGAGCUGAGAUAAAAAUGAGGAAGCAAUCUGCACCAGCUGUUGAAGUAUUAAUACAAAAAUUAACUACUGUGUGUUGGUUAAUUGCUUUCUGCUUAAUGUGCUUUCAAAAGCCUUGAUUCCUCUUUUCUGUUACACAAUCGCAACUGCGGCAGGAUAUCAAGAGGCCUGUGAAAUUAAAGAUUCCAUUUAAAGGAGCAGGCCUCCUCUCCCCCCUCCAUUCUUCUCACGGCUCAGCGGCCAUAAUGGACUCAUGUGUUGAAUAACCAAAAUGGUCACAUUAGACACCUGCUACUGUGGUCUUUGCAGACACAGAUACGCAGCUCUUUUUUAGGCUGCAGCAAACACAAGUGCCGCUCAUCCGUCAAGAGCCCAUGCAAACAUUUCCAGAAGUGAGACUGUAAGUUUAUCACGCUCCACUCUGCUCCAUCCCGUUCCAGCAAUCACACGCCUACACGAUCGGCUGAGUGACGACGAGUGAUUUCAAACGGCACAGCUGGUAUAUUCGCUUUAACUGCCAUGCGUUUUAUUUGCGUUAUUAUCUGUUGCCACCUCACUCCUCAGAUCUAUGCUGACUGAGGCCACAUGGAAGCAGUUAAGACCGACGUGUCCCUUUACAGAAAACAAAGAGAAUUUUUUUUUCCUCCCUCCUCUUAAGGAGUCACAGCUCUCCUCCUCUGGGGCCCAUACAUGCACGGGUCGUGUCUCCAGCACAUUUAAUUCCAUGCUGUAAAAACAUUAAUCAGAUCCAGAUGAAGUGGGAAGAAUUCUAAGACAUUAAGUUUUUAUGGAUAAUUAGAGGUUAUUUAUGCAGGAUAAAUAAGAAAAUAACGAGCCACAGACAGUGUUACAAAGGACACUGGUUGCUGUUUGGACAUUCAUCCGCUGCAAUUACUCCACUCCAGAGCAAUAAUCUUUAUGAACCCUAUAAACCCUAUAAACUCCGUAAUAGAUAGAUGGAUAGGUAGUUGGAUAGAUAGAUAUUUAGACAGAGGAAAAGUAAAAUGACCUGAUCCCAAAAUUGUUUCCAUUGUUGUCCAUUAGAUGGCUUACUUGUACUACAAACUCUCGGCAUAUUGGUUUGGUUGGGGGGCUUGCAGUUCAUGAUCAGGCCACAGUCGACAUCUUCCAGGAAAACAAUGCUGGAGACGAGCACUGUGUGACAUAUGAGAGGUCAGAGAGAGGCCUGCCACCGCAGAGAAACAGCCAAAAGACAAGUAGGGGGCAAGCCAAUUGAACACAGUAAUGCUGUCUCUCUCUCUCUUUCUCUUACACAGACACACAGACUGAAAGUUGCAUGCUUUGGACUGUGCAGGAUGUGCACAGAGACACUGAAAUACUAUAAAAGAGCUGCUCACAUGUAUUUCUGACGAGAACUAUAUUUAAGUGCUGCACUAGAAAUACUGCAUAUUUGAGGCUCUGCUUGGCAGAUAAUUCAGCAUAACAUUACCAAGUAUGUAACUAGAAUAAAUGACUUCCUCACACAUGACUGUCAAACAUGAAUAAAGUUACAGUCAGACCCUCUCAAAACCCACAAAAAAGAACCAAAUGAAACCAAAGGGUAGGGAUUCAACACAUGUCAAAGAAUGAACAUCAACUCUCGUACAAAUCAGAGUAAUGGCUUCUUGUGGCACAGCUGUCUGUACUCCAUGAACAGUAAGCAGUGGCUUGCAAGCAAUGUGAACUUUACUUUUCACGCAACUAAAUUCUAACUUUAUGUCAAGUGACUGAGGAUACAUUACAAACACUGACCAUGUAAUGCGAUACGAUACAAUGCAGUAUUAGGCAGUACAAAAGGGUAUGUGCAAUAUACAAUAAGUUUUUUCACAUUUUAUGCUCGAAAACAUGAACUUUUCCAUGUCAAACUGUAUGACUGUAGUUUACCUGUAACAUCUGCAGCUGUUUUUGUCAGGGUCAAUAACUUCAGUGUGCUGCUUUCAGUCAGUUUCCUUUCCUCCAUAGUUUUCAGUAAAAAAUUCUGCUGUAUAAGCGCCGCGUAAGUGUCGUGCAUCACGCUAGUUUGCAGCUUGUAGGGAUACAUUAAACUGUCACAUAGGACUUUGUGGCCCAUGAAAACCACCCAUGGUGGGUGAGUACGGACAGUGCUUAAGAGCAUCUUCAGAUUUAACUCUUUUGUCAGUAUGAAGGGCAGGGAGAACUUUUUCUUCCUUUUUGGUUUAGAAAGUAGCUAGCACAUCUUUGACGCUGUUUUGCUGCUGUCAACUUCAUCUUCUGCGGAUUAACGUUUUGAAGUGGUGAAUGAGAUUUGCACGAUGGCAUAGUGAGUCACACCUGUUCAGAGCACCACAUUUUUUUAAAUUAAAAAUUUUACAAUAUUUUACCACAUCAUAUUUUGUUCCACUCCUAAUGCUGACUUACGCAAACCUCACAAUGACGCGAAACCAGCCCCCUAGCAAGCUAGCAGGGUAUUUUCGACAUAGAGGCACUGUUUUUUUCAGUUGAUAUGUUUUAUUAUUAUCAUUAUUAUUACUAUUAUUACAAAUAUACUGGUAGCUGCAUCUUACUUUUUUAAGGACACAGAACAAAUACGUGUGUAUAUAAAGCACUUUUGAUAUCUUUACAAUUAUUACAUUAACUGUUUUUUGUGUCACCACUAGAACUACUUGAACAUUUCUAAUGAAUAUACAAUGUUUUCAUCCUUAGUCGGAUUUUUAACAUAAAUUUACUAUUUUAAUCUAAUUUAUUGAUGCAAACGUUCUGAACUUGUCACACCAGCAAGACAAACACAUUUAGGCCUGUGUGUUAAAAAAAGUCACUGCAUUUCAGGUAAAAUAUAUUUUUCUCAACAAUCUCAGAAUAAUACAUAAAAAUAGGAUAAGCUACAGAGGCAUCAUGACCUUAUAGAGAACCUCAAGUUUUAUAUGGAAGGCUCCCCUCCUCCUCCUCCAUGCUUUGAUAUUUCAUGUGUUGUGAACAUAGAGUUUGUGUCUCUGUUCCAGCGCACCACCUCAAACUGUCAUUAAAGCGCAUGUCCUCAGGUGGAAAAUGACUUCUGUGGGGGAGCUUCUCCAAUGAUAACAUGGAUUUGCUCUAAAAUACGUUGCUUUUCUCAGAGCAUCAUGAAUAAGUAAACGCUGAUGAAAACCCUUUGCAUUUUCACUAUCGCUCCUAAUGCUUUUGCUUUUAAGAUGCAUAUUGAGGCAUGCAUAAAACAUCGUCUCACUCCCCCCCUCGCUGCAGCCGCUAUGGAUGAUCGCGAAAACUGUGAACACAAACCCUCUGCACGGCAAAAAGAAAACAGAUGAACAAACAAAACAAGAGAAUCCAAAUUUGUCCAAGGCCCAAUGCCGAGGUCUGAAAUUACAUGUCUCCCUCUUCCCACUUCGCCAAGCGUUUGUGUGUGAAUUGCAUUGGCGUCACCACAGCUUACUUUGGUCAAAUGGGAACUCCGUGGGUUUUUUUAAUUCAUUCAAUUGUCGCUAUUGCCCUGGAAAACCAGGCUGUAAUUUUGGCCGUGGCAUUGAUAAGUUUUUCACUUAGCAUUGAGAGGAUUAAAUCAAUUAUGUUGAUUCUGUAUUUACUGCUUGCAUGCCCACAGUCAUUUGUAAUUAGCUUAUUGCUUUUGAUCUGAUGUAAUGUGAUGAAAUGCCUGGAAGCAGCUCUGGGAGCCCGCUUGGCUGGAGCAACUGGGGUGGGCGCCACUUUCAGGCCCCAUCCGAUUGUCCGAGCAUGGGGCGAGGAGAGGAAGGGAGAGAAGGGGAGAUCGGGCGACUCGCGUGAGCGGCCACAGACAGAGAGGCAAGGGGAUCGGUGUCAGAGUGGAGGGAGGGACCACCCGCUGAGAUGGCAGCAUCCUCCGAACCUCAUUACCCUCAGAGGCCUUUCCCUUCACAUGCAUGUGUAAUUACACCCCACCCUGCCCCACCCCACCCCCCACGAAAGCUCUCGCAACACCUGAUACCUGCAGGUAGAACGCCACAGGGGGGCCUUUCUGCAAUGAUAGGGCUCUGAGGCUCAAGGGCCCGCUUAGAGUAACUUAAAUUGAACUCUGGCCACCCACAUCAAUCAAAGACCCCUAACACAGAGACUGAUCGUCUGCUUUGGAGAGAAAGAGCUGUUUAUUCUUGGAAAGCUAAUUGUUCUACCUAGCCACUGUUCUGCAUCCAAGACUGCACUACAAAGCACAAAGGAUGCAGGAUUGGAUUAGAAAUAGUCCCGUAUAUUUGGACGUGCCUGAAGGACUUGAUGUUGCCUGAUAGUUUCAGGACAGGGAAUCCUUCUCAAGUUGAUUCUGUCAACCUUCUGCUGAACAGACUGAUGAAGUCUUUGGCUUAACUGAUACAAGAAUAAGCUGGUCCUCAAUUAAAUGCACAGUUUCAAGUGCUGCCCAUCUUUCCUCAAAGGGGAAUGGCUCCAACAUGACUCUCGUUCAAACCAGCCCAACAGAACCCCUCCCAAAGUGCCCCCUCCUCUUUGCCAUCCCUUCUUUUCCUCUCCCAAACUGGUGGAGCAGACCCAUGGUGCACUGCAGACUGUUCUGUUUAUGAAAGAGGUCAGGGUGCCACAUAUGGCCAGCGCAUUAAAAUACACACAGCUCCUGCCGCGGCUGCUAAAAAUGUAUUGCGGCUGUCUGUACAUGCAGGAAUAAAAUAAACUCUGAAUGUUUCAGCGAGCAGUGCUGAGAAUUUAAUGAUUGAGUAUUUGAAACUCCGGUCAGAUUCGUACAUGAAAAAACGAAGAAAAGCACAUGUCUUUAAAAGUCCAAAGAUAUUGGGUUAGACGUCAGCAAUAUACAGAGAGUUGUUUGAUUUGGCAGAAGGGGACGUUGAGAUUUGCCAGGGAUAAGUGUGUGUCACACGCCAUCUGAGGGGAAAACAGGGCCACAGUAAGCCGUAGGAAACCAGCGGUGAAACUAAACACAUGCAAUGACAGCCACAGGCGGUCCAUGUGUGCCAAGGAGUCUUAGCUCCUGGCCCGAGGGGAGAGAGCAGGGCUACCGAUAAGUCGAAUAAAGAGCAAAAAAUAUGAAUACCUUCCCCUUCAAAGCAAACUAUUAUGUGCCACUAAAUUUUGAUUAUUUUCAGUGAGAUUUGGUUGCUUAUUUCUCUUGGCUGUAUGGACCCCAUUCCCCAGCUCUAUAGCAGAUUUGAGGGUCUAUAAUUCACCUCUUAAGCAAACACACUUUGUGCUCAAUAAGACAGAGGUUAGAGUUUACACUGCAGAUAGUGUGAGCGUUAACUGUAGUGCUUCUUAUUUUUGUUCAUCAUUCAAUCGUUCAAGCCGAAAGACACAAUUUCCAACACUUUGCCUCUUAAGGCGCCAGUAGAUAUGAAAAAAGGUCAAGAUUGGAUCUAGCCUUAUAACUUGGUGUUGUUCUAAUAACAAUCACAGUGUGAGAUUGGACACAAAGUUUAAACACAGUAAGAUUGUUGGUUUGAUUCCAGCAACAGCCAAUUUAUCCAUCACUGUAAGAGUCAGUUAACACCCAACUCCUCCAGCUGGCAAACACUUCAAGCUACCAUGGUGAAAAUACCAAAUUCAUAUUCCUCUCUGCAUUCUGUGAUUGAAGUGCCCCUCAUUUCAUAGAAAGAUAUUAAAUAAAACAACCCAGACAGCAGAAAAACAAAGGCGCUGAUAGUAUACGAGGCGCCAGCAUGUGUGAAUCCAAGUUCAAGAGGGCAUCGUUGGGUGCAGCCCUGGGUGUUGCUCUGCGACGCCCUGUCUUUAUGAGAUCAGGCCUGCUUCUGGCUAAUCUGCUGUGACCUGUGGCAGGAAGACUGUGUCCACCUCUCAGCUCUGUGAUCCUUUCUUACACCUAACACUUGUGGGUAAUAACAAACCAUAAUUCCAUCUCCUGCUGGGCAAUGAAAAACCUCCCCCGCUGCUCUGUGUUUUUUUUCCAGUUGCAGGGUCAUGAGCAAGCAAAGCAUUGUGGGAAGAGAAGGGUGACUGCGGUGGUGGUGGAGGAGGAUAGGGAAAAGUUUAGGGGUUGCUAAAAAAAAAAAGAAAAGAGUAAAAACAUGUGUAAUGAGAAAACAUGUGGUGUGUAACUAUUGGAAGUCAUCAACAACAGAAAAUAAUAAUUAAAGUGCAGGAUGGAGGGGAAAAAAAAGUGAAGCUGUCUUUUCGUGGCUGGGAGACCACUGUCAUCAUGUCUCAGGAAUUAGGCAAACAUAUGCUGGUCUGCUGCUGUUGAAACCGAGGCGCCUCGCUCAGGCUGCGGUUUGGGAACAUGAAAGGCUUUGUGGGAUGAGCAGGAGGACUGGCCCUAAUUCAGGGCCUCAUUGCCAGGGAAGCUGGCAGCAAACUCCGAUUGUGGGACAGGGAAAGGAAUUUGGUUACAUAUUCCAGAGAGGACCGCAGCUCCAAACAAACUGAAGCAACAGGCUGCUGAGCAAACCAUUCUGUCCACAUUCAACCCCCCCACACCCCCCUGUAGCUGCCUCUGUGGGGGUGAGGGACACACUCCCACCUGACUGAACCCCAGAGGAGAAAGAGCGCAGGGAACAGGAAUGAACUGGGUCAAGCCAAGAGCUGAACUUGAUGCCCGGAUUUCCUGCUGAGAUCCUCGGGUGCUGGCAGCACACUUAGUUAUUUGGAUUGAGCAUUUGGGAAACAAAGCAGGACUUGUGUUGUAUUAUUGCAGCCAAUUAAACUCUCUAACUCAAUAUCUAUGUUUGAGAAGAUGCACAGAGGUCAGCCUGAGAUUUACAGGGAAAACAGAGAAGCCACAACAGUUCAAAGGUCUCAAUAAUCCCGGGGCAACACUUUUCCCUCUGUGAAACACAGCAUGCCUUCACUGUAACCUGAUCAAUUUAGCAAAUUGGUUAAAACUCUUUACGCCUCUAUCUUUUCACAGCCGUAGCAAUGUGCAUCCACAGGGCAAGCCUGUCUUGAUUUCCUUCCAGAAGUGAGACACUUUCUGGCAUUUUCAGACAGGCUGGGAUCAGAUUAAUCAUGUCUCCAUUUAGGGUUACAUAUGAUUAUGGUUGACUGUUUACAAGUUUUCUCAGAUGUGCUCCCCGUGCCAGGACAUGGUGGUAGAGCUCAGAGCCUGAAACUCAUUCAUGCUUGCGGUGGUCUUGUUUUAAACGGAGCUGAAGUGAAAAAUCAUUCAUUUUUUGACAGUGUAAAAUACAGAUGUGAGGCAACAUCGGAUUUGCACCUCCUUGUUAGCAUUUAUUUAACUUCUUGGUGUUCCAACUGGUUGAGGCUGAGUAUUUGAAGUAUGAGAAAGUGAUUUAUUACAGUUCAGUGCCUCCUGAAUUGAGCUGAUGUAGCUAACUUUACACAGUGAAGUGCUUGGGUUUAUUUUUUCAUCAGCAGAAGAUGGACUUUGAGAAAUCUCAAAUGUCAGUUUCAUACCCAACCAGUGGGAGGCAGCACAGACUGGAGGAUUAUGGACUGCAGAGCUCUCACACACACUUGCAUGCUAUCUACACAAAAAAAAAUGAGUCACUUUAGUGGUUGAAGGUGACCAUGUCACACAUCUGGGCUGCAGACCCAAAUGGCCGGUGGCAGAGGAAAGGACGGGGAUCUAGCGGCCAGAGGAGCGGCGACAUGUGGCACGCAGAGGGGAGAGCAGACCGCGCUGAGUUUGUGUCUGUAAUCCUCUGCCUGAGAGAGAGAGAGAGAGAGAGAGAGAGAGAUGUUUGGUUAUGGUUAAAGGCGCUGUUGUCCCACAUUUUCAUCUACUUCUAAUUACAACAUAGCUGAGGCUCAGCGGCAGCCAGCAUAACUGUUGUUGUUGUUGUUGCUGUUUGUUGACAUUACACAGGCCUCCCCCACAACACACUUGUCACACGCACUCAUUCAGAUGCGUACAAUUAAGACCAAGUCGUUCACACCCGAGUGUUACGCCACUGUAUGUGCACACUCAUAUAAGAGCACACAGGCUGUAUUUAGGGGCCUCAAACACACACAUGCUAAAAGUCAGAUGUCACACACACACACACACAUAGAAACACACAUCCUUCCACUAAGUGAUCAACAUAGUUGCAUGGUAGAGCCCAAUAUAGAGACACCAAUCUGUUUGGUGCCACUUGGAGAUUAGUACGACCACAGUGAAAACCCAAAAACACUAUGUAGACAUUUGGGUGGACCGGAUAUCACAACUUGUACAUAUGUGGAAGAAAUUCAGCGCGGUGAAAGGACAAGUGAGUCAGUUCGAUGCCACAUACAAACUGCAGAAUACAAAUGGGUUACCACUAACUAAUAGCUGCCAGACACAAAGUAACCUAAAUGGUUUUGUGUGAUGAUUUAACAAUAAUCUAAAUCCUGCUAAAUCCAAGACAGAUUUUUUUAUAAUCCCUGAAAAAUGUGCCCUUAAAACAAAAAUAGGUUUUUAGGUAUAGUUAAGAAGAAUAUGGGAUAAAGGAGAUGAGAACAAUAGGAGAUAACACACAAUCACAUUGAAAUAUAAAGUAUUGUCCAAUCUUCAUCAACUUAAAGAGUGCUGAGAAGUUCUAGGUUUGUUCUUUCACUGUUUUUAACAUUUAUAUCAUCAUGCAUGUUUGAUGGGGAAUAAAUAUGAUAUUUUUGUGAUCGAGAUAAAGACCUCUAUUAACCCCCUCAGAUUUGGAAAUUACACACCAUGAACAACAAGAAGAUGUCUUGAUGAUGCUGACACUUAUCAGGACCAAAGCUACAGCUGCAAGUCUGACUAAAUACAUACUGUACCGUACACACCACAAUUUUCUCAGUCUGUAAUUUAAUGUUUGCAAUUAAAAACUUCUGUGCUGCCUCUCCGAGUGCGUAAUUUACUGAAUCAACACCUUUAAAUCAAGCGCUUCCUUCUGUGACAGACUUGUGUCUCCCAGUGGAAUUUGCCAUUCCAAACCACAGUCUGCGAUCUCCACAUUGUUUUCACUCCCAAUCACACGCUUUAUCUCCAAUUGCUGACUAAUUACCAAGAGCUAAGGGUUAUGGGAAAGGCCCUGAAAUGACAGUCUGAUGUUUUUGUGGUUCAGCAUUUGGAUUGCUGCUUCGCGUGUGCUUUUUUUAAUUGUCUGAAAAUUUACAGUGUGUGAAAGAGGGGUCAGAUACCAGAUAGGUCAAAAGAGGGUCAACCUUUAUUAAACAGGAGACGAAAUCAACUGCAAACUGCACAUGAAUAAAAGUGCAUUGAUACAUAUAUAUGGUAGAUAUUUUUAAAAGACAUACUAGUUAGUUGAGAGACAUCCAACCACUGAGACAUGUAGCCUGUUAAAAAACAGCUUAAUUUCCAUUAAGAAGUAUAUCACCAGAGGGGACAGCCAUAUAAUUAUGUGAGAUACACAGAGAGAUGAAUAAAAACAUCUCAAAGAAUCUUUAAAUUAACUUAGCAACCACUCUAAGAUUUGUUUGUAUGUGAGUUUUCGCCUCACAGCUCACACGUUUUUUAUUUGACACUACUUGUGGAUGCCACUUUAGAGUCAGUGGACCAAUGUGAAAAUCUAUCAAGAUGAAAACAUGUUUUAUUUCCCUCGCCAAGAGUUUCAUCCUUGGCAGGUUAGAAAGCACGUGAACAAAAAUCUUUGUCAUAAGCUCACAAAUAAAAGUGAGGCUAUGGAGGUCCUCAGGCCACUGUACUCUAUCCCCUUUCAUUCACUUAGGGCCACUUAGCAAUACAGUUGAGCAUCAUUGCCUUACUUUAUCAACAAUGUUCUCUUCUCUGUGAUCUCAGAUACUGUGGAUGAAGUAAUCUGACGACACGCCACGCUGGCACUGAUGUGCGUGCGAAACACCUGAGGUGUUUGACUCAUAGAGAGGCACUGUGCGCUGUGACAUGUAAGAUUCUCCAGAGGGAAAAAAAUGAAGGGGGGGCGUUUAAUGCCUCUGUUCAUGAUGAAGCAGCGAAUUAUAGAGACAGGGUGUGUCAUCUCAUUCUCUGCUCCUUUCAUCAUAAUCCCCCCCUCAAUGUGGAGAGAAAGACUCACUAGAGGCCAUCAGCCCCGAACUGCAGCCGAGAACAUCCCACAGAGAUCCACCUAUGGCCUUUUACUUUUUACUACAGUUCACUAAACAGACGGCUUAAGGAUUAACGGACACCAUUUCAAAGCUGCAGAGCGUGAGGCAAGUCGAACAUACACAAGUGCCUGUGUGCUGAGUUCUUGAGAGUGUCACCUGUUGUGCAGCUGUUAUAUACUCACUAAUGACUGACAGGUUGCAAAGAUACACACACACACACACACACACACACACACACACACACACACACACACACACACACAUCUGAAAGACUUAAAUUUGAGUCUUGUGCUUGAUAAUAACGUCACACUUUUUAUUUAAGUUUUGAAUUAACAACAUUAUGAAAUAGUACUUAAAACUUUUUGUACUCCAGUGAAGAAAUACCAAAGUUACAAGACCCCCAUAAAAAUACUUAAAAACUACUGCAGAUGUACUAUCUGCAUGUCAGCAAAUAUAAGCAAAUCAACAGUAAAUCUAUUAAACAGAUUACAUUACAUUACAUUACAUUAAACUUGAUUGAUCCUAUGCAUCAAUAUAAAACAUAAAAGCAUCUUUUGGUGGUAAGGUAUUAAUAAUAGUUUUAUCAAAUAAAUAUAUUAUAUAAUACAAUACAUUUUUAAACAGCAUUUCAAGUUGAGAGAUAUACUGAUAUAUCAGAACAAUGAUGGUAAAUAUCACCAUUAUGUUUCUAAGUUUAUUAAACAUCUCUUUAAAACAUGCUGCUGGAAAAAAAAAAAACUAUUCAAGAUAAUAUUUUUUAAUUGCAGGAAUCAUUAUUUUAUGUAUUUCAACUCGUCUUUAAGGUAAAACACCUGCAUACAUGAAGCCUGGAAUCAAGAUUUUUCACUAAGGAUUAAAAAAAACAUUAGAGAAGGCAAACAAAGUUUUUUCAUCAAAAUCUAUCUGCAGAUUGUUCCAAGCAGAAGAAAAAAGACUUCUCGCCUAACUUGCUGUGGAUUUGGACUUUAGGAAGGGCAUAUUUCACCAGGUCCAGUGAGUGACGGAUGGUUGUAAAUCCCAUCUUUCAAGAUUAAGAGAGAAGAUAGAGAAGAACUUGGACCAGGGUGACUUCAUACACAAAUAUACCAAUGCAGCAUUGCCCAUGCUCUCAAGUAUUUAAAGCAGGUCAGCUGGCUUUGCAAAACUGAAUAUAAGAAUGAAUAAGAAAACCACAGUUUGUAGUUAUUCUCAGUGACUUGUAAUACUCAAAUUCUACUUGUAACUCUGUCUUUUUUGACAGCUAGAUAAAUCAAAUCAUUCAAAAACUGUAUUUUGCACCAAAUAAACAUGUAUGUAGUAUGGACAGGCUAGAUGAAAGGACUGAAAUAACCGAGUAGCUGAGUAAAAGCACCUAACUAUGCUCAAACAUUUAUAUAACAUGUAUUUUACUUUUUCUUUGUGUGUGUGUUUGUGUGUGGCAUUGCCUUAUCAGUGACUUCAGUCUGAAAGUUGGACACCAUCCAUCAGAGCCAAAUUGUUGCCUGCUUUUAACAUAAUUACAUUUCUUUUGCUUUGAUUCCAGUCCGAAGUAAUAAAACACUUCUAACCCAAACCCCAAAAUCUAUCCACAACUACAAUUAAAGUUAAAAGUGCAGUUGUUUUAUGAUUAGGGCUGCAGGGUCUAUAGCCACCAAGCUCUACCACCUGCUUCUGAUUGGCUAGCAGUGUGUUUUUCCCCCUCACACAUAACCCAGCGUGCACUGGGGUUUAUUUAUUAGGAAUAAAAAAAGGAGUCACUAAUCUGCGCUCGGUUCAGACAGCGGGCUCCCACUACACACUUGCUCACACACGCACACACACACAUCUGUGUACCAGCUGAGCGGGGAGCAGUCCCACUGUUAGGCUUUCACAUAUCAAAGGGCCUGGGGUGCUUUGGCACUGCCGGGGUAGUUGUCCUUUUUUACAAAAGACAAACAAGCAAAGAACUCGGGAUGCGGUCCAGAGCUGUCUUUGACACGGUGUCAAAAUGGGGACUUGGCUCUGUGACAUAUUAUCUACAUGUGUAAAAAAGCUGUGGGGCUUUUCAUAGUUUUUUAGAUGGUUGCUCCCCUGCUCAUGGAAAGGCAGUUCCACAUUUUCUGUUAAUCUACUUUAACCGUACACCACAAAACAACAUAAUUUGCAGAACUGUUCAAUGGCUUCAAUGUCAACGCCAAGCUGCUUUUGACUCAGGGGUGCAUGGAAAGAAUUAGCUCUAGGUGUGUGGUACUUUUGUGGUGUUUGGUUCACAUAUACUCAGAGGUAAAGAUGUAAGUCUGACACUUUGACAUCACCAAAACAUUUCACAGACUGCACUUAAUCCAACCCAUCCUUAGCAACACCUUUAAGAGGCUAAUGCUCCCAAAACAGUUCAUCAUAAGAUCUCAUAUUUUAUCUGCAAAGUUGGCCACUACUGAUGACAGAAACUGUUAAAAUGAGAUCCUGCAGGAUUGUAAUAAAGAUGACAGGAUUCCUAUUUAUCUCAAACUGAUCUUGCAAAACAUCAUAUUUAACACGUGAAAACAAAUCACAGAGGUUCAAUCCGUUUACCACAGCACAAACACAGAACACUAUUUUCAGCAAAUGGAAACAAGGCCCCGUUUUGGGAUCAAAGCAUCUAAUGGGUUCUGGAUAACCAGAAGCUGCUGUCAGUUUUUGGCCAAACCAAACAGACAUGCAAACACAUGUGGCAUUGCAUCCAAAAGAUUUUCAAUGCUGUUUGGAGAAUUAAAGCUACAUUACAUCUAAUCUGAUUCUUAGAGUCUUCUUCACAAACUUAGAGAGCAGGAACACAUUAUCUAGGAUGGCUGUCUGAAGGGACAAAUGACUUUGCCGAUGAUAAAUGGGGCACGUGUUCUCGUAUUGUUUUAUUUCAUGAUUCAAAAUGUCCUUUAAUUUUAAGGCUGUUUUUAAUGGCCUUGCACUCAUGUUCUUCUCUGUCAUUGCAGGAAAGGAAAAUGAAGAACACAGAAAGGUAAUGAGAAACAAACUGACAAUAGCAGAGUUUAUGCAGCACUUUUUCUCCCACUAAUUUCACUGUUGAGGGCGGGUGAGGGAGGGGUGCACAAAAAGACCCAUGUCUCAGUGUAAACUAACCUGCCACCAACUUGAACGUA